AUCCCACAACUCAAUUCUUAGUCUAAAGAAUAACAGAUCAAUUCUAGUGGUGGUUUGGUUCGAGAUUGUGAGAAAAUUACAAGUGAACGAUAGCUAUAAAGGUAUAAUUUCUAAAACCAUAAUUUUGUCUAGAUUAGAUUUAUGCAUGUUAAGUUAUAGAAUUAGAUGCAAUUAGAGUAAUUUGAUUUGAAUUUUGUUGGGCAUGUCUAUUGUUUUCUAUUAGCCCUAGACCUCCAAUUGAGUUUGUUUUGUCGCGAAACUGACUUUGUGGCCUAGAAUUACCUGAAUUAAACUCAAUACGUACAAAAUGAAGGAAUAGACAUAUAAAAAUACAAGAACGACCCUGAGUUAAGCAUAAUAUAUAAGAUAGCAUAUUUUCAACGCUAUCAUCAUGACUUUUGAGGUAGGAGACGAUUCAAAUCCUUCAAUCGGUAAUUGUUCAACUUAAAAAUUAACUUUGAAUUUUAAAAUAUUACCAAAACUUAAAAGAGAUAAAGAGAAUAUCUGAAAAGAUCCCAAAUGCAACUAAAUUCUAGUUAUGGAAUAUCAUUAAAUUUUAGGACGAUUAUUAAAUAUUAGUUAUAUAAUUGACUAAUUUUCUAAAUCAUAUUAAAAUAAGAUAUACCAAAAUAUUUUAAAAUAUUUACAAAAUGUAUAUAGCAAAAUUUUAGAUCUAUCGUUGAUAAUUUUUUUUUUUAAUAUCUAUUAGUGAUAUUAAGUAAUUGACACUCUAUUUGUGAUAGAUUUUGAAAUUUUGUUAUAUUUUGUAAAUGUUUUUAACAAUAAUUACAUCAAUAGUUUUUUGAUAUACCUGUCAACAUCUUUAUUAAAUUGAAAUUUAUAUACAUGUCCAUGGACAAUUGAAACUUUGAUCAUGAAUAAGGCAGAGACUUGGUCAUAACAAAGAUGGAGCAGUCAAGAGAGGAGAUUUCUUCAAAGGGUUUAGGCAUAUUCCUUGAUUUAACACUGAGUGAUUGAUCUUGGAAAGACUCAUUAAAGAGGGUGGUUGAGAGGUUGGUUAAAGGUCCUUUCCGGUAUUUAAGUUUUGUGCGUUUGUUUUUAAUAUAUUCUUUUAAUACAAGUUAAGAGAUAAAAGGCAUAUUAUUUAUCUCUAGGUUCCUCUCUCCAUUUUUUUUGAAUGAAAACUUAAAGAAAAAUUCACCAAAGAAAAAGAAAAAGAAAAGAGGGUUGUUUGAGUCAAACGUAAUGUCUAAUCAUGAUUGUCUCCCCAACUUUGUAAAAGAACAACCCCACUUUGAUAAGUUCUAAUCAAAUGAUGAAGAUGAUUAAUAAAGCUUAUGAAAGCAAUGAGUAAAGCUAAGUAUUCUAGAAGGUUCUCUCGAACUUAGAAGGUUUUCGAAGUAUCUACCAUAUAACAUAAUUAAAUAUGUAAAUUAGAUUUUUCUAGACUUGGAGUAUGUAAAUAAAUAUGUAAAUUAGACUUUUCUAGAACUACGUUGAAGUAUGCAAAUAAAUAUGUAAAUUAGAUUUCUCGAACAUAUUGAAGUAUGUAAAUAAAUAUGUAAAUUAGAUUUCUCGAACUAUGUUGAAGUAUGUAAAUAAAUAUGUCAAAAAAAAAUUAGAAACAUCCCAGGUUUUCAAGGAGUUUUGUGGAGAAUCCAUUUAAUUAAGAAUAAACUAAUAAAUAUCUAGAUACUCACAGCCAAGAAUAAUUUAGAGAGAUCUUUUUGUUUGGGGUAGAAGGAUCUCUCAUAUGUAUAAAUAACAAGUGUGACACUAUUUGUGAGCCAAACAAAGAAAGAAAAGAAAAUGAGUUAAAAGAGAAAUUUUAAGUGAAAAGCGAUGGAGUGUCUACAAAUUGUAAAAGAGUAUUCUUUUCAAAGUGACAUCUAUGUUCUUUCUUGAUAGAAGUUUCUUUCUUCAAAAGAGAUCAUCACAAUAAAAAUUCGGGGUUAUCCCAACGUAGAAACAAGUGUCAGUAUAAAGGAUGUCGUAAGAGACAGGUUUUGCCGACACCAUUGCAACGACAUCGGCAAGAGGAAAAACAACGAUGCAAUACAAUUACAACGUCGUUGAAGGUUAUUAGUUAAAAAUAAUAUUAUAACUUCUAAUGAUGUCAUGCAAGUCCGCGUCGACAUUUCCACCCUAACAACGACGUCGUUGUCGAUGACGUUGGUGAUGCUUAAGUUAUUAUUAAAAUGGAUGAUUUAUCGUGACGUCUAUGAUGACGUUGUUGACCACAUCGGGAAAGGUUGGACCUUUUAGUCACUUUGAAGAAUGAUGUUUUGAUUGAUUUAACAGGAAAAUGGUGAUACAGAUCAAAUUUACGUUGGCAUUAGGUGACUUCUAACGGCGACAUAAUUGGUUGUGUGGUUAGAAGCACGUUCUCGCGAUGUUUUCGUCGUGCGUCACGAGAACCCUACUUUUAUUUGUGUUCAUUUGAACACAAAAAGGCAAAGAGAAAAAACAAAGUAGGAAGGGAAGAUGAAAGACGAAAGAGAGAGAGAGAUUAAGCCACCGCCGAUCGUUGCCGCCUGUCGCCGUCGUCGCCCAUCGCCGUCGCCGCUGCCCACUGACCUCGUACCAGUAAAAAAUGUUAUUUUGUAUGUUGGAGAUUCUAUGUAUAUUGUAUGUAUAUAGUAUGUUUAAGGUUUAGGUCUUGUGUAUUAUUGUAUGUAUAUAUAUAUUUUAGAUUGUAUGUAUGUUUAGGGUUUAGAGAUUGUGAAUGAAUGUAUGUAUAUUGUAUGCAUAGGGUUUAGCGUUUAGGGUUUAUAUGUUUAUGGUAUAUAUAUAUGUAUAUGUAUAUGUGUAUUAUGUAUGUGUAAAUUGAAAAUUGUAAAUGUAUAUGUUUAUAUUUGUAAGUUGUAUGUUUAUAUUGGAAGGUUGUAUGUAUGUGUAUAUUGGAAGGUUGUAUGUAUGUGUAUUGAAAUUGAAAUUGUUAUCGUAUAUAUGUUUAUUGGUAGAUUGUUUAAAUUAAAAUUGUAUAUAUAUUGUAUUUAUGCUAUAAAUUGUAUAUCGUAAGUAUUUUUAUUACAAUUAAAUUGUAAAUUGAAAUUGUUAUUUGUGUGUAUGUUUGUUAUUAAAUAUGUUGUAUGAAUAAGUUAAAGUAAAUUAAAAUUAAAAUUGUUAUUGCAUGCAUGUUUAUGGUAGAUUGUUGAAUUGGUAAAAUUGAUGAAUUUGAUGAAAUUACACGUAUAUGUAAUGUGUGUAUUAAUAUUACGUGUUAUUUGAAUUUUAGAUUGUAUGUGUAAUGUAUGUGAAAAUUGUAGAGUUUGUAUGUGUAAAUUCUCGUGGUAUGUGUAAAUUCUUGUGGUAUGUGUAUAAAUUUGAAGAAAAUAAGUGUUCGAUUGUUCUUGUUAAAAUCUAUGGAUGAAGAGCUCUCGAUGUAUGUAUAGAUUCUUGUUGUUGUAUUUAUAUUGUAUAUAUAGAUUAUAGAUUGUAUAUAUGUUCUUUCAGAAUUACAAUUUGCAUACAAUCUGCUAUUGAAGUAGCGAAGAAAGAAAAAGAAGAGUAUGAGAGAAAUAAAAAGAAGAGUAUGAGGAGAAAGAAAAAGAAGAGUAUGAAGAGACCAUAUAAGAGCUUAGGUGCAAGAAUUUCCUUUGAUUGCGUUUGAGGACCUCAAAUCCAAGAGUAGAGACAUACGCAAAAUGUGCAAAGAGGAAAGUUAAACAUUAUUACGUGCCACGUUGAAAGAAAUAUGAGGUUGCUUCAAAGAGAAGCGACCCUCGCUCUCGUGAUUCCAGAAAAUUGAUUGGAAAAAGAGGACCAAAAAAUGACAAGAUCGAGAAUCGAACAGAUAAAUAGAAAGUUCCUCACUUGCUUUGGUGGUCUUAUAUGCAAAUGAAGAUUUUUCUAUGGUUUACCUAUUCGGUUCUCGAUUCAUUUUCUUGUCCUCUUUUUCUAAUUCAUUUUUUGGAACCACCAGAGCGAGGGUUGCUUCUCUUUGAUGCAACUCGUAAUAAUGUUCAACUUUUCUCUUUUCACAUUUUGCUCAUGUACAUACUCUUGGAUUCGAGGUCAUCAAACGCAGUCGAAGAAAAUUCUUGCAUCUAAGCUCUUUAUAGUCUUCUCAUACUCUUCCUUUUCUUUCUUUGCCUUCAAUAGUUUUGCCGACGUCAUUGACAAACACCAUUGUAUUGUCGACGUGUUGACCUUGUCGACAAAUCAUGCGUUGGCUAAAGUUCUACUUUGACAUCAUCUCAUUCUUGCAUUGUCAUUACCUCUUACGACGCGUCAUUUACAGCACUCGUGUCGACAUGCUUUUCUGUGUCGACGAAGGCUGCAUCGACGCACAAUGGAUUUUUGGUGAUGCAUUUAUGCAUCGACAAAGCUCAAAAUUCUUGUAGUGCAUCUCUUUAUUUGUACCAAUUUCUUCAACAACUGGUAUCAGAGCCAAGGUAGCUCAAGUUGUUAUGGUGGAGCAUUUGAAGAUUUACAUACAGUUUGGGACUGUGGAGUUUGUUGUCUAGGACACAGUUUCUUAUUAGAAUUCAUAUUCACUAUAUAAUGGUCGAAGACCUUCAAGUUGUUGGAGGGAUUAAGAAGCAACACUAAAAAUUAAGUACAAAACAUAGUCUACGUGCAUGAAUUCAUAUCUCCAAGGUCAGGACUUGUGGGAUGUUGUAGGAGGCAAUGAAGUCAACCCACCUAAUGAUGUAACUGCUUUAAAAAAAAUGGAAUAUCAAGGCAAGUACGUCAUGUUUGCAAUUAAAACUGUAUUGAAGAUGAAAUGUUGGAGCACAUCAAUAUUGUGGAGAUGUCAAAGAAAGCAUGGUACACACUCACAUAAUUUUCCUUUGAAAAAAGUGAGGAUCAAGAGAACAACUCUUGUCAAUAGUGGUGGAUCUAUAAAAUUUAUUGACAAGGGGCUUUAUAGUUUAGUCAAAAUAAUUUAUAAGUGAGUGAUUCUAAAAAUUAAUAAUUUUAACGACUUUCAUACAUCACAAUUGUCCUCUACGUGAUUUCAUAUUUUUAAAUCGAUACAUAAUAACUCCAUUAUCUAUCUUAUCAAAUAAAUCUCUCAAUAUAUGUUACACGACAAUCAUUCAUCAGUUGGUCUCCCAUUCGAUUGCGCAACUGAGUCUUUAUAAUGCUCAUAGCAGAAAAAUGUGCUCUCCACGAUAGUCGUUGUAAUUGGUAAUAUCAAUGUUAAGGUAAGUAAAUGAUAGACUAAUGGGUAGACUUUAUCUUUAGUUAUUAUAACCAUUUUUUUUUAGAAAGAUCACCAAUACUUGUUAACUCAACAAAUAUGCUAUCUGAACACACAUCAAUGAUGUAAUUUUGAAGUUGAUCUUCAAGAAUAACAAGCUUUGUAGUUGAAAAAUCUCUAGGAUAAAAUUGUGCAAAGAAAAGAAGUUUGUGUCUGUCAAAAGUAGUAAAUGAGUUGCUCGGAUUGAGACAUGUCACACAAAAAAGCAACUCGAUACCUUUUUCAGUGAUAUUUAACUCUUGAAGUUGUAUGUCAAUAACUGCAUAAAAAAUUUCAACAUGAUAAUGAUGUAUAUUUGUGAUUUUUUGAGAUUUUCGUCUUUGCUUUCCUCGAACCAAAAAUGCAUAAUCCAUUUUAAACAUUAGAAUUCCAUGCUUAUUACAAAAAAACUUGAAACUUCAUCCAGCAAUGAUCGUCAUCCUAAUUCUCUCAAUGGGCUGUAAUCUUACUUUACAAAUCUUGACCAAAUUCAUUGCAUUCACAAUAUCCUGGUCUUUUCUUUGUAGUGCUUGAGACAAAUCAUUUGUGAUUUCCAAGAUAACUUUCAUAAGAUGCACAUGAAAAACGAACUCAAAUGAUUGGACUGAAUUCAUUAGAACUUCUACUUCAUAUUUUUGUUCAGAAUUUGAUCCAUCAUCUAUGUGUAACACCCCAAAUCCUAAGGUAUUUAAAAAAAAAAAUUAGAAUUUGCCUAGUUAUUGGAAGUUUUCUUUUAUUUAAUGUUGGGUGUUAUGUUAUUGCAUUUUGAUUGAAGAUUGAAUUUUUUUUUUGAAAGAAAGGAAGUUAAGGGGGAAAAGGAAUUUGAAAUGUAAUAAUAAUAAUAAUAUAUUAUUAUUAUUAUAUUUAUAAUUAUUGUUUAUUAAAACAAAUAAAAGAAAAAAGAAAAUUUUCUUUUUUCUCUUCCUCUUCACCGCGUCCUCCAACCGCCGCCACCCUCCCCCUUCCUCUCUUCUUUUCUUUUCUUUUCUCUUCCGUUCGACGCCAACAUAUAGCCGCCACCAGUUUUCUUUUUCCGUUCGACGAAGCCGGCAGUCGUGUACGGUCCAGAUCUGCGUCGCCGUGCUGUCCAAGUCCUUGUCGCCGCUCGAGCUUCGCCCUUGCGGUUCGCCGAAGCCAACAUUCUGCCGGUGUCUAAUCUUUUCUCUUCGUUCCGUCGCCGCUGCAUCAUUCGUCCGUCUGGGUUGCACAGCCGAGCCGCGACUCCUUCGUGCACAUAGUCCUACAGCCGAGCCGUUCGCUCCCCACAAAAACCACUCGUGAGACGUGCGCCGUUUGUCCAAGCCGGCUUGUACUCCACGUUGUUGCACUAUCUUCGUUUAGGUUCGACAGUUACUGCCUUUAUUUUUCGGUGCGAAGUCGACAUUGUCUUAUUGAUAACAAAUUAAGUAUGGGUAUUGAUUUUUCAAAGUUGUUCAAACGUUACGGUUGAGAAUAUUUGGCUAAAUUGAUAAAUCAUUUUUGAAGGUGUUGAAGGUAGCAUUGGGUCACUUGAAUUCACAACCAAUUUGUGAAUUUUGGAGUUCGGCUUGCCAAUACUUGGUAAGCUAGAAUCUACUUUGAGGAGAAAUUUAGUGGAAGUGUGCCAUGAAAGUAAUUGAGUUUCAUAUUUUAUGUUUAGGUGUACCGUGAAGUGUGUACCGAGACUAGUAGUGGGUCUCUUACUAAGUAUGUUUAUGUUUAAUUUUUGGUAACAAAGGUGACAAACCGGCGAAACAAAGGUGACAAACCGGCGAGAGGCAGGAAGAAAGUGUGAUUGUCAUAGGGAACAUCUUUAUUUUGCUUCCACUCUAUGUUUUUUAUGUGUAAAACAUUAUGUUGGAACUUAGUUCACAAACUAUUACUUUGGUAACAGUACUUUUAAAGUUUUAGUUGUUUAAAACCGGACCUGUUUAAAGUUGUUUUUCUUUGAUUAUAUGUUUUUCAAAUGUCUUAUAUUCAUUUUGUAUCCAUCGAGAUCUUUUGUCAAAAAGUUAAUGACCUCGACUUAGAUAGAAAAGUUGGUCGUUACACUAUGAUUGUCUCAAGUAGUUCACAAAUUGAUGAGAACAUUGAAAUACAUCUCACCAAAGUGUUGUGUGAUCCUAACCAUGUAUCUUCUCGUCGUUUAUUCAUUGUUUCCUUAUUUAAUCCUCUUCCACUUGACAUUUAGCUAUUAUUCAAAGCUUCAAAAGUGUUGCCACUAUGUUUCUUUCUUAACAUCUCUCAAUGUUUUGGUGAUGCACCAAUAACAUCACCACAUUUACAACUAAAAUAAAAAGAUCAUCGAUCUCUACAUGACUUUUUGCAAUAGCUACAAAAGCUAAUUGAAGCUGGUGAGAGAAACGAUGAAUGUAAAAUACACAUGCAUAUUGCUUGCUCCAUCAUAACCUUGUCCUCACAAACUCGCUAUGCUUAAUCCAUGUAUAGAAAAGAAUCCAUCAAUAGCUUCUUUAAGUUAUAAAGAAUUUGUAUUGGUAACAUGUAUAAUACUGACAAAUCGUUCAAUCACACACCCUUUGUCUACAUAUCUCAACACAAUUGACAUUUGCUCCUUUGAAGAUAUAUCCUUCUACUCAUAAAUCAAAAUUGAAAACAACUUAUCACCAAUAUCUCGUAUGAUUGCAUUGACAAUUUCUAGUACAAUAUAAUUAACAAUAUCUUUUUGGAUGUGUAUUUUACUUCAAUAUCUUUAUUAUGGUUGCAUAACCAUUAUAGGAGUUCAAGAGAUUUACCUUGAUUUUUUUAAUCUUCAGUUUCAUCGUGCCCACAAAAUGGAAGACUUUGUUGUAAAAAAAGUCGAGCACAAUCAAUUGUUGCACCUAAUUGAAUCAGAUAGUAAUGUACUUAACUAGUUACUGUGGGAUUAGUGUGUUGUCAUGUUAUUUUAAAUAUGUUUCUGUCAUGUUACUGUUAUAAUUAGAAGCCGAUGUAAUUAGUUGACUUUUGGGUUUUAGUAUAGAAAACCUUAGUUUGUUAUUUUGUGGUUUUAAAUAAAAGAAUUCCAGAAGAAGAUUUUUAUUUUUAGUUUUCAUGUUUUCUGUCCAAGAACACAGACACACACCAAACACCUCAAAUUAAUAUCAGAGCUUCACUGAUGAAGGGUGUUGUGACCGGCGAGAACACCUCCAGCAAGGGAAAGAAGGUAGUGCCUAAUGAAGACGAGAUCCCAUCCCCAAGCACUUCAGUUGCCUGAUUGAUGACCAUUAAAGGAAGCAUGUUAGAACUCAUCAACCGAGUGAGAAAUCUUGAAACCAACAUGGAAUGUCUUGCUCAUCGGUUGGAAGUAGCGUUGACGACACUUCCCUAGAAUCAGAAAAUCAACAACGACAAUCACCAAGAACUCUAGUGCAUUAUCGACCGAAAUUUCAGUUAGUCAGGCCGCAAAAACAAUCAGAGUUCAUCAGAAACGUCCGACGAAGGUGGAAACCACAUCAAAGACUGUCAACUACAAAAACCCAAUAUGGGGGUCUUCAAGAUUUGGAGGCUUCUAAAGAGGAAGAAGAUAAUUUCCGACCAUGCCAAAGAAAAAGAAGAGAUAGAUGGGGACAGAGACAAUUUAGAUUUCAAAAUCCACUUUUCAGAAGGGGCCGAAAUGGAGGAGAAGACUAUCUUGAAGACCAUGUGCAACUUGCCCGAUACAGAGAAAUAAGAAGAAGAGAAAAUUUUCAGUAAGAUUUCAAGAUGAUGGUUGAUUUACCAAAUUUCAAUGGCAAAUUGGAUGUAGAAGCAUUUCUUGACUAGGUUAAAAAUGUGAAUAGUUUCUUUGAGACAACCGAAGACAGGAAAGUCAAGAUGGUCGCACUGAAGCUCAAAUCGGAUGCAUCAGCUUUGUAACGACCCAACUUUUCAAAUUGAGUCGAAAUCAUUAUUUUAAAUAAAAACAUUUUGGUUGACAUGAAAUACGACAAAAUUUAUUUGAAACAAUAUUAUCAAAGAAAUAAUAUACGGACCCUAUUUCAAUCAAAACUAAAUUUCAAUUUUAUAAUUUGGAAAGUAGUUAACAGAAAAAUAAUUGUUCUAAAUAUGAAACUCAUCUUAAUCCUCAAAACUGAAAAAAAGUAAAAAUAAAUAAAUUAAAAGACGUUAAGCGGAAGUAUAAAAAAAGUGUUCCCAUAUGGCAAUCACGAGCCCUUCUUGUCCCUCAUCGGUCUACCUCUUGUAUUACCUUUGCCUGAAAAAAUUAAAUAUAAAGGAGUAAGUAUAAAAUAUACCUAGCAGGAGACCCACUAUUGAUCCCGUUAGUGGUAAAAACUAUUAACUUCCUAUUGGGAGGUACCCUGCAUCACAACAGUCUCGUGUCCCUGAAGGAUGCACAUAAUCAGUCUAGUGUCCCUGAAGAAUGCACAUAUCAGUCUAGUGCUCCAAAGGAUGCACAUAUCAGUCUAGUGCUCUCGAAGGAUGCACAUACAAGUGGUGAUUCCAUAGGACACAUGCAAGGUACACUAUCCCCUAAGUGAAGCUAACAAUUUUCCCUCAGUCUAUUCUAACAAUUUAAACAGUCAACCCAAAAUACAGUCCAACCUAUCUCAUCAUAUAAUCAUUUAAGUCCAACAUAUAUAUAGUCAAUUUACCCAUACUAAUACAUAAUCAAUCAUUAUUAUAACGAUUCAUCAAACAAUCAACAUAUAUAUAGGCGUCACCCACCUUAAUUCAGACAAUUCAGUCAACAGUACACUAUCCAUACAUUAAUAUAACAAUCAACCUUCCUCAAUUCAGUCAGUUCAACAUUCUCAAUUCAGUCAAUACUUUGCCACUUUUAUAUAGGGAUCAGUAGUAGAAAAUCUCUUACCUUAACGUUAUUUAAGCUUCUUGAUCGAACUAAAAUGUAACGAAACAAACCUAAGCACCAAGAUAAGAAACUCAACAUUUUCUCCAAAAAUAACAUCCACUUAAUUCAAGCCAAUGUGAAAUUCACAACUUACCUAAGUCAAAUGAAGAAUAAACUUCCAAUGAAGCUUGCUGUGAAACUCAAAGGUUCAAGCACAACUUAUCCAAAAUUACCUUGAAGACACGUGACAACCCAAACAAUUAAUCCAACAAUAACACUUUAACUAGUUAUGAAACAACUACAAAACCCAUAACUUCAAUCUUACCAAGAAAUCUUCGAUGGUUCACAGCAAAAUAGAGGCAGUGGUGUACGAACCUAAACGAAAAAGAGCGUGCAAAAUAGACAGAUCUGACGGCUAACUUGGAGGUGUGCGUCGGCUUGCAACUCGAUGGCUGGUGUUCGGCGAUUGGCGUUCGUAGAUGGCAGACGAAAACAGAUCAGUUGGUAACGCUCCAUAGUUCACGAAAUAGAGACACCGCGGCGCGGGUGUAGUCAGCUCGGUGUCGAACAAAACAGUGGAAGAAGAUGAGACAGCAGACGAUACAGAACAAGAUAGAGACGACCAUGGUUGUCGGAGAUGGCGAAUGGAAAAAGAAGCGAAAAAAAGUAGAAGGCGACGACAUCUGUAACUCACGAAGAAGAAGGAAGGAGAUGAAAGUGAGGCAAGCGAACCGAUGGGUUUUUUUUAAAAAUUUAAAAUAAAUAAAUAAUAAUAACAACAACAAUAUAUUGGAUUUUUUUUAAAAAUAAUGUCUUUUGUAAAAGUAUUUACAAAAAUAUGGUAGUUGAGAAAGUAUUUUAAAAAAUAGGUGACUGAAGUCGUGUACGGGGUACACGACUUUCACAAAUCAAUUUGGUGUCGUGGACCGGGCUUACGAUAAUAAUAAUAAUAAUAAUAAUAAUAAUAAUAAUAAUAAUAAUAAUAAUAAUAAUAAUAAUAAUAAUAAUAAUAAUAAUAAUAAUAAUAAUAAUAAUAAUAAUAAUAAUAAUAAUAAUAAUAAUAAUAAUAAUAAUAAUAAUAAUAAUAAUAAUAAUAAUAAUAAUAAUAAUAAUAAUAAUAAAUAAUAAUAAUAAUAAUAAUAAUAAUAAUAAUAAUAAUAAUAAUAAUAAUAAUAAUAAUAAUAAUAAUAAUAAUAAUAAUAAUAAUAAUAAUAAUAAUAAUAAUAAUAAUAAUAAUAAUAAUAAUAAUAAUAAUAAUAAUAAUAAUAAUAAUAAUAAUAAUAAUAAUAAUAUAAUAAAUAAUAAUAAUAAUAAUAAUAAUAAUAAUAAUAAUAAUAUAUAAUAAUAAUAAUAAUAAUAAUAAUAAUAAUAUAAUAAUAAUAAUAAUAAUAAUAAUAAUAAUAAUAAUAAUAAUAAUAAUAAUAAUAAUAAUAAUAAUAAUAAUAAUAAUAAUAAUAAUAAUAAUAAAUAAUAAUAAUAAUAAUAAUAAUAAUAAUAAUAAUAAUAAUAAUAAUAAUAAUAAUAAUAAUAAUAAUAAUAAUAAUAAUAAUAAUAAUAAUAAUAAUAAUAAUAAUAAUAAUAAUAAUAAUAAUAAUAAUAAUAAUAAUAAUAAUAAUAAUAAUAAUAAUAAUAAUAAUAAUAAUAAUAAUAAUAAUAAUAAUAAUAAUAAUAAUAAUAAUAAUAAUAAUAAUAAUAAUAAUAAUAAUAAUAAUAAUUAAUAAUAAUAAAUAAUAAUAAUAAUAAUAAUAAUAAUAAUAAUAAUAAUAAUAAUAAUAAUAAUAAUAAUAAUAAUAAUAAUAAUAAUAAUAAUAAUAAUAAUAAUAAUAAUAAUAAUAAUAAUAAUAAUAAUAAUAAUAAUAAUAAUAAUAAUAAUAAUAAUAAUAAUAAUAAUAAUAAUAAUAAAUAAUAAUAAUAAUAAUAAUAAUAAUAAUAAUAAUAUAAUAAUAAUAAUAAUAAUAAUAAUAAUAAUAAUAAUAAUAAUAAUAAUAAUAAUAAUAAUAAUAAUAAUAAUAAUAAUAAUAAUAAUAAUAAUAAAUAAUAAUAAUAAUAAUAAUAAUAAUAAUAAUAAUAAUAAUAAUAAUAUAUAAUAAUAAUAAUAAUAAUAAUAAUAAUAAUAAUAAUAAUAAUAAUAAUAUAUAAUAAUAAUAAUAAUAAUAAUAAUAAUAAUAAUAAUAAUAAUAAUAAUAAUAAUAAUAAUAAUAAUAAUAAUAAUAAUAAUAAUAAUAAUAAUAAUAAUAAUAAUAAUAAUAAUAAUAAUAAUAAUAAUAAUAAUAAUAAUAAUAUAUAAUAAUAAUAAUAAUAAUAAUAAUAAUAAUAAUAAUAUAUAAUAAUAAUAAUAUAUAAUAAUAAUAAAUAAUAAUAUAAUAAAUAAUAAUAAUAAUAAUAAUAAUAAUAAUAAUAAUAAUAAUAAUAAUAAUAAUAAUAAUAAUAAUAAUAAUAAUAAUAAUAAUAAUAAUAAUAAUAAUAAUAAUAAUAAUAAUAAUAAUAAUAAUAAUAAUAAUAAUAAUAAUAAUAAUAAUAAUAAUAAUAAUAAUAAUAAUAAUAAUAAUAAUAAUAAUAAUAAUAAUAAUAAUAAUAAUAAUAAUAAUAAUAAUAAUAAUAAUAAUAAUAAUAAUAAUAAUAAUAAUAAUAAUAAUAAUAAUAAUAAUAAUAAUAAGUGAAGCACUCGAUCGUGGUGAUAUUUAUACGGAAUAUGCGAUAAGAAAGCUUAAGAAGUGGGAAAAACGAGCUUCUGCACAUUCAAUGACAUCCAUUGAUAGAGAAACCCAGACAUUUGAGGUUCACACGGGUACCAGUUGAGGUGUCAGUUGGUCGACCUUUGAGUUUCAGGUAUUUUAUAUAUAUAUAUAUAUAUAUAUAUAUAUAUAUAUAUAUAUAUAUAUAUAUAUAUAUAUAAUUUUUUAGUAAAAUUUGCAGGGUUUAUAACUUAUUAAUGAUUUCAUUUCUCACAUUAGAUGGAGCGGCGUUAUACCAUUGUCAGAACUGUCCGCAAAUAUGUUGAUCACCUACCGAAUGCUUUUUGAUCGGCUGAUCAACUCUCAGGUACUAAAAUAUUAUAUCAAUAUUGCGUAGGCAUGUUUUUUGUUGUUUCCUUAUGUUCGUUUUUUUUAACAGAUUAAUUGGACACCAUACACGUCCCACAUUAUGGAAUUGCUUCCACAUCAAUGUCAUAACGGCCAAGCGAUGUGGACAUAUGUGGGUCCUAUGAUUUGCUUUCAUCUCGUUGAGAAGCAUCAAGCAGAUCGUGUAUUGCGACAGUUCCAUAUGCUACAAAUGCCACCAGAGUUUUGCUCCACAGAUCAGGGCCUACACAAAAUUGAUUUAAGAGGCAAGCACGAUCAAGAUUGGAGUAGGAUUCAUGCAGAGCAUAUAGCAAUGUGGCAUUCACGAAAUAAUUUUUGUGCCGAAGCAGAAGCAACACAGAAGUCGACAGUAUCAGAUAACUACUUUUCCUGGUACACGUCGAUUACCCGACGCUUCAUGACACCUGAUGGCGCUUACUGUUAUAGCAUGGUAAUAGUUUUAAUAUGAUUUAUAAAUUUAAUACAAGCAUGAACAUUUUUUAAUUAUAUUAUUUACAAUCGUUCAGAAUAAUUUUGUUGAAGACGUACGUCGAGUCUCCAUGGAAAACAAUUUUGAAAUUUUUAGUCCAAUGUGUGACGAAGUCAUGGGAGAUAUAGACAGCCUUGUUCAGCGGACUCGACGUUUAAAUGUUGCCGACACAGAUCGUAGACGCAUUCGACAGCGACGAUGAUGACAAGGCGAUGAUGUCGUAGAGGGAGAUGGGGAAGCUUCUUAAGUUGUAUAAUUUAAGUGUUUUUAAAUUUUGCUAGAACUUAUUCAAGUUGUAUAAAUAAAAAGUUGAACUUUUUUAAAUUAAUUAUAAAUUAGAAGUUGCUAAUACAUGAUUUAGAUGUAGGAGUAUUCUUAAUAAUAUCAAUAUAUAAUAUAUAUUUUUUAAAAGUAGAGAACCAAGUAUUAAAAAAAACGUUCAAAAUUCUUAUAAGAUAUCACUAAUGAUGUGUUUACCUUUGGUUUAUUUUUUUAAUUUGUUCAUAAUAAACAUAAAUUACAAAAAAUUUGGCCAUUUAAACAAAAACUAAAAUUUUCACAUAUUUAAAGUUGAAGAUUUAAACAAAAACAUAAAUUUCCAACUACCCUAAUUUUGAAAAUACUUUUUAAAAACACAUUAUUUUAAAAACAAAUCCGUCUUUCACAAAUGUUUUUACCCUAAAAAUAGUUAAUAUUUUAAAAUAUAAUAAUUUUAAAAACAAUUGUUUAGGAAGUCGUGUACCCCGUACACGACUUCUGUCCACGACUUCCGUCCACGUGGGUCAAACUCGUGCAUACGUGGAGCGAAGUGGUCAAAUGUGCUGACAUGUGCAUUUAGGAAGUCGUGUACGGGGUACACGACUUCGUACAAUUUCAUUUGGAAGUCGUGUACCAAUUUAAAAAAAACACAUAUUUUUUAAAAUAGUUUGGGAAACAACCUUAUUCUUAUAAUUUCUUUCCCAACAACCCUAUUUUUCAAAAUAUUUUCACAAAACACAUUAUUUUUAAAAAAAAUCCCAAUAUAUUAUAGUAAUUAUAAUAAUAUAAUAUAAUUAUUAUUAUAUUUCACUUAUUAUUACUUUUCCACUUUCCAUUUUCCAAUUCCUUUACUUUUUUUUCCAAUUAUUUUCUUUUCCAUCAAAUUAAAUCUUUUCCUUACCAAUCUUAAAUAAAAUAGCACCCAAAAUUCUUUAAAAACUUAAUAAAUUUUAAAAAUUAAGUAAACUUAAAACUUUGAGGUGUUACAGGCUUGGUGGGAUCAAAUCCAUGUCAAUCGACGUUUAAUUGGACAGACACCCAUACAGAGCUAGCCAAGAGUGCUUAAGAUGAUGAAAGAACGCUUCCUAUCCACAGAUUUUGAACAAAUUCUUUAUCAACAAUAUCAGUGAUGCUGCCAAGGUAAUAGAAAAGUGGCAGAAUAUGCUAAAAAAUUUCACCAUCUAAGUGCAAGAACCCGAAUGAACGAGAAUGAAAAUAGAUUUGUUGAUGGUCUUAAGGAAGAAAUUCAUGAACAACUAGAUUUACAGCCCAUAUCCACAUUACCGACCGCUAUUUUGAUGGCUUUUAAAGCUGAAAAACAGGCUGAAAAACAGUGGCACCAAGAAGAAUCAGUGGGAUAAGACAUUCACUCCGUACCAACGAAAGAACUAUGACAAUGCCAAACAAGUUCAAGGCUUCAAUACAUCAAAGGUGAAAGAAGAAUAACCUUCUAAAAUAAACCAAAGCCCAAGAACUCAAGAACUCUCUAACAAGAAGAGUGGUUCAACUGACUAACUAAGAUCGAAUUUGGGAUUUUGCUACCGGUGCAACCAAAAGGGACAAUAUAUUAUACCAACACACUCAUCCAAAUGAAUAUUUUAGUGAAAAGUUAAGUGAGGCAAGACAAAAAUGGAGCACCUAGGAACAAGAACUAUACUCUUUGGUAAGAGCUUUAAAAGUUUAGGAACACUAUCUUUUAGGACAAAAAUUUAUUCUAUUCUUCGAUCAUUUAUCGCUCAAGUAUUUGCAAACAUAAAAGAACAUUAGUAGAAUGCAUGUUAGGUUUCUUUCUUUUAUUCAACAUUUUAACUUUAUAAUAAAACAUAAGGCCAGUAGUACCAAUGCGUAGUAGCGGAUGCUUUUAAUAGGAAAGCCAACCUACUUACUAUUCUAAAAACUCAAGUACUUUGCAUUUGAUUCUUUGCCUACUCUUUAUAUAAACGACUCCAAUUUUAAUCAAAUUUGGUUCUUUUGUGUUGAUCAUGUCAAUUGUAAUGACUUCAAUUUAAUUAACGAUUUUCUUUUUAAGGAUAAUCUUCUUUGUAUUCCUAGAACAUCUUUUCGUGAAGCCUUAAUUAAAGAGCUUCAUAACAAUGAUCUUGCAGGUCAUUUCAACAUAGACAAAACUUACCAAUUAUUGAGUGAUAGGUUUUAUUGGCCUCAACUUCACGAGGACAUUACAAAGACUAUUAAGCACUGUUUUACGUGCCAAACUGCCAAAGGACAACAACAGAAUACUGGACUGUACACCUUUACCUAUUCUAGAAGGCAUUUGGUAAGACUUGUCCAUGGAUUUUAUUCUAGGCCUUCUAAAAACUCAAAGGGGGUAUUAUUCCGUUCUUGUUAUAGUUGAUCGAUUUAGAAAAAUGUCUCACUUCUUACCUUAUAGGAAAAUAUCAGAUGCCGUUUAUAUUGCUAAUAUGUUUUUUAAAGAAGUGGUAUGUUUGCAUGGAAUUCUCAAGUCCAUGGUUUUUUACCGUGAUGUCAAGUUCCUAAGUCAUUUUUGAAAGGCACUUUGGAAACAAUUCAACACAAUUCUCAAGUUUAGCACUACUAGUCACUCCCAAAGCGAGGUUACUAACAUGAUGCUUCUUGCCAACAUAAUAUAAGGUGCAUCCGAGGAGAGAAACCUAAGCAAUGGGACCUUGUCCUAAGCUAAGCUGAAUUUGUUUAUAAUCAUAUGAAGAACUGAACAACAAGGAAGUCACCAUUUGAAAUUAUGUAUACUAAGUUACCUAGACUAACUGUUGAUCUUACAAUAUACCUUCCAAUGUUGAUCUUAGCUUCGAAGCUGAAAAUAUGGUGGAAAGAAUAACAAAGCUUCGUAAAGACGUAACCUCCCAAAUUAAGAAGAUGAACCAAGCAUUAAAAAGUCAAGCCGAUAAACAUCGAAUAUUUAAAUAAUUCAAGGAAUGAGACUUAGUAAUGUUACACCUUCGAAAGGCAAGACUACCGGCUGUAAAGUAUUGCAAAGUAUAGCCAAAGAAGAUAGGACCCUAUCCAAUAAUCAAGAGAUUUGGAGAUAAUGCAUACACGAUUGAUCUUCCUAUUUAGAUACACAUCAACCCUAUCUUCAAUGUGGGUGAUAUAUUUGAGUAUUUCCCUUCUGUCCAGCUACAUCUUUCAACAUAAAACUCAAGGACGAGUUUGCUCUUCUUAAGGGGGAGGAAUUUGAUGUAGUUAGCUAGUUACUGUGCUGUCAUGUUAUUUUAAAUAUGUUUAUCUCAUUAUAUGUUACUGUUAUAAUUAGAAGUUGAUGUAAUUCGUUGACUUUUGAGUUUUAGUAUAAAAACCCUUAGUUUGUCAUUCUGUGGUUUUAAAUAAAAAAACUCUAGAAGAAGAUUUUUAGUUUUUGUGUUUUGUGUCCAAGAACACAGACAGACACGAAACACAUCAGAUAGUCAAUUCUUUCUUGAUCAAACAUCUUGUUAAAAAAAUGUUGCAAUUUGUUGUUGUUGAUUUACAAGAGCUUCACAUUUGCCCCAAUCUUGGCUAUGUGCACUAUUUGGUCCUCCAACAUGAGUUUGUAAUUUUUCUUUUUUCUUCUAAUUUGAAAAUCCUUCACCAUAAAAUGGUCACGUCCUUAUUGUUCUUCAACUUCUGGUUUGAAUAAAUAGCAACAUAAGCAAUAGGCAACAUCUUUUGAAAUACUAUAUUCCAACCAAUUAGAAUAUUGAGUAAACCAAAUUGGAUCAAACCUUCUUGACUUUAACCCAAAUUUCUUCAAUGGAAAAAUAUGAUUUCGAGGUUGGCAGGGUCUUUUUUGUAGAUAUACUCUACGAACUUUGUCUGAAACAUUACAAUUGUAAUCAAGAAUUCUAAUUCUUAGACCAGGAUCUGCUCAUAAAUUCUCUAAUUUUACUUUAGUGAUGUAUGUCUUAUAACUAUUAUCAGUUUUCUUCAAAGGAGAUCCUAUCAAUUUUCUUUAUUUAGACUUCAAAUUAAAUCUACAACAACAUAACAUUGUAAUGAAAAUAAAUCAAGAAGAUAUUAAUAUAUAACAACAAUAACAUAACUUAAACAACCCAACAAGUUUACUCAUGAUCCACAAAUUAUUUCAAUAAUUAAUAAAAUAAUUAUAAAACAAAUGAACUAAUACAAAAAGUAAGAAUGAUUUGAAAUAUAAAAACCAACUACAUAAAAAUAAAAUAAAAAAAUUUAGAAAGAGAAGAAAAUAAAUUACAAAAGUUACCUCAUAAAUGGGAGAUAGAAAAAGGCACUAAGAAGUUGAAGAAGAUAUUUUAAAAUCAAACAAAAAAAAUUAAAAUUUAAAAAAGCUACAAGCGGAAAAAGAUUAAAAAGCUAAAAAAAGAUUAAGUUGAUGUUUCAUAAAACUAAUAAAAUAAUAAAAUGAAUGAAGUUGGAUAGCUUAGUAGUUUUAAUUUAAGUGGUGAAGAGUGUAUAAUUAUUAUUUUUUUGGGUGAAAAUUGAAUGAAGUUGGAUAGCUAGGUUUAAGAAUAUAUUAAUUAACACAACUAAAAGGGAAAAAAAAUUGUAGCAUGCAUUUCAACCGAACCAGUAAAUUAAAGAAAUAAAAAAUAAUAAUUUGGUAGUUGCUAAGGGCUCGUUUGCUAACGUUCUCGUUUCCUGUUUUCUGUUUUUAAGAAACGAAGGUGUUUGGUAACGUUCUCUAUUUCUCGUUCUAAAAAAAAGUAAAAAUGUUUCGCAUUUUAUAAGGUAUUAUUGAGAACAAAAAAAAAAAAGUAGUUUCUUUUGUUAUCGAUUCCAAUUAUUUCUAUUGAUUUACUUUUUCUUUUUCUCAAUUGUUUUUAUUGGUUUCUUUUUUCUUUUUCUCAAAUGUUUCUAUUAGUAGUUAAAUUAAUUUAAUUCAAUAUUUAAAAAAAAUGAAAAAGGAAGCCAAUUAUGUUUACUUUAACUGAUAUUUUCUCGAGUCAUUUUUUUUUUUUGAUAAAUUGCAUAUGAUAGUAUUUUGAGAAUAUGAUAUAACAAUUAUAGCACAUUGUUUUAGAAAUUUGCAAAUAUGACAAAAUUUUCACUUCUCCAUCUUAAAUUUGAUAUUAUUUCUAAACUACACUUCAAUGACUUAUUUAUCUUCCUAUGCCCUACUCAUUAUUUAUUUAUGUUUCCACUUUUUAAGACCCUAAUUAUUUGUUUAUUCUUAUACUAGAAAAAUCUUUUGUUAUUUUUGUCUUAAUCUUAAUUUUAAAAUAUCAAUAGUACAAUAAUUGUAAUAUGAAAUAUAAUAUAAUGGUUGUUGAUCGGAGUAGUUUAACUUCAUUUGUGAUUUUUUUUUUUUACUUUCUUCGAUAUGUAUUUUAAGUUGAAUUACAACCAAACUUCUCAAUGCAUGCACUGUAGAUAUAUUUACUCAAAAAUGGCAGUAGCAAGUAUGAUAUUGAGAAGUUUGAUGGUAAGGAAGAUUUUACCUUAUGGAAGGUCAAGAUCAAAGCCAUAAUCGGCCAGCAAAAGGCAUUAAAAGCCCUCACGAAUCCAGAAAAGCUACCUAAAACAAUGACUCAAGAAGACAAAGAAACUAUGGAGAAUGCAACCUAUGGUGCCAUAGUUUUAAGCCUAAGUGACAAUGUUCUUAGGGAGGUUAUUGGUGAAGAAACAACUUAUGGAAUAUGGACAAAACUGGAUGAGAUUUAUAAGUCCAAAGAUCUACCUAACCGUGCAUACGUAAGGGAAUGAUACGUCACCUUCAAGAUGGAUGACAACAAGUCUUUGACAAAAAGUCUUGGAGAAUUCAAGAAGUUGUCUUCAGAUUUCAAAGAAUUGGGAGACAAGAUUGGUGAUGAAAAUGAAUUGUUUAUUCUACUAAACUCACUUUCAGAAGAAUACAAAGAAGUAAAGAUGGCUCUCAAAUAUGGAAGACAAAAAAUCACCACAGAUGAUGUAAUUUUAGCAGUAAAAACUAGAUAAUUGUAACUUAAUUCACAGAAAGGAGAUCAAACAAAUGGUGAAGGGUUGUUCUUAAAAGGGAAGAGCAAAAUCAACUCAAAAGAACACUAGAAUCAGAAAAAUAAAUAAAAGCUUGAAUGCACAUUUUGCUACAAGAAGGGACAUCUCAGACAAGAUUGUUUCUUCCUAAAGAAAAAGUAAAAUCAAAAGAAAUAAAAAGAAAAACAGCAAGAAGAACCUAAGGCAGAAGCAUCAGUAGUAGAACAAGUCCCAUUUGUGUAUUUAGAUGCCUUAACUAUCUCAAAAAAUUCAAUUCAAACAGAAGGUAAUAAAGAUACUCAUGAUUGGGUACUUGAUUCAAGGUGUUCAUUGCAUAUGACACCAUUAAAGGGAUGAUUUACAACAAACAAAGUGUGGAAUGGAGGCCUAGUAUCAUGGGAAAUGACAAUGCUUGCAAGAUAGUAGACAUUAGAUAUGUUACACUUAAGUUCAAAGAGUAUACAUGGGAAAUGACAAUGCUUGCAAGAUAGUAGGCAUGUUCCAUCCUUGAAAAUAAAUCUAAUUUCCCUUGGCAUGUUAGACUCCAUAGGCUGUGAAUACAAGGACUCUGUUGGAAGGUUUGAAAUAUUAAAAGACUCCAAGGUUGUUCUUGCCUGUUUAAGAAUCAAUGGACUCUUUCUCAUCAAAGAAGUGUCCAUGAACCCUACUGCCCUAAUUGUUUCUAAUGAUAUGCUAACUGAAGGGAAUUUGUGGCAUAAAAGACUUUCCCAUAUAAGUGGAAAGGGAUUAAAAAUGUUGUCAGAACAGAGAAUUCUUCCUAAAGGAGUGGCUGAAAUGCUAUCUUUCUGUGAGCAUUGUGUAGUUGGCAAGUCUAUAAGACAAAGUAUUCAAAAGGCUGAUCACAACACCAAGAUCACAACACCAAAGCUAUCCUAGACUACAUUCAUUCUGACUUAUGGGGACCCUCACAAAUACCAUCUUAAAUAAUUCCAAAUAUUUCCUAACCUUUACUGAUGAUUACUCUAGAAAGAGUUGGGUUUAUUUUUUAAAGUCUAAAGACCAAACUCUAGGAAAAUUUAAAGAAUGAAAAACCAUGGUAGAAAAACAAACUUCUAAACAAGUUAAAUGUUUAAGAAAAAAUAAUGAUUUAGAAUUCAAUAACUUUUGUAAAGAAUAUGAAAUAGUGAGGCAUAGGACUAUUAGAUAUACCCCUCAACAAAAUGGUGUUGCUGAAAGGUUAAAUAGAACCAUAAUGGAUAGAGUUAGAUGUCAAAUGACUAAUGGUAUAAUUCCAUAAAAAAUUUGGACAUAAGUUGUUUCCUAUAUUGUUUACACCCUUAAUAGGUGCCCUCAUCACUCUACAAACUUCCUAACACCUAAAGAAAAAUGGUCUAAACAUCCUCCUAAUUUACAAAACCUUAGAAUCUUUGGUUGUAUAGGAUUUGUCCAUCAAAGUCAAGGGAAAUUAAAACCUAGAGCUAUAAAAUGCAUGUUUAUAGGUUUUACAGAGGAGUUGAAAGGGUUUAGAAUGUGACAUCCUAUAGAAAAAAGAUGUAUAACUAGUAGAGAUGUGGUUUUUAAGGAAGAUAUUAUGUUUGUGUUUGAUAAACCUAAUGAAACAUUUGAUCCAAAUUAUAAACUAAAUGAGAUUGAGGUGGAGCACCCACCAAACCAUGAAUCAAACAAACUUUCUCGAACCAUUGAGGAAGAAACAGAUUAAAGUAUCAAUCUGCUACCUACUCUAGAAGAAGUUACUCAAGAAGAAGAAGAUUUAUCAAACUAUUAUUUGGCCAUAGAUAGACAAAGAAGGACUAUUGUUCAUCCUUCUAGAUAUAGUAAAGCAUGUUGUGUAAACUUUGCCCUAAAUGAUGUGAAUAAUCAAAAUGAUGAUGAACCAAAAACUUUUGAUGAGGCAGUGAGUUGCCCUAAUGCUAGACACUGGAUAAAUGUCAUGAAUGAUGAAAUGGAAUCACUCACUAUCAAUAAUACAUGGACUUUGGUAACACUGCCUAGAAAUUGUAAGACGAUAUCUUGCAAAUGGAUCUAUAAACUUAAAGAAGGAGUUCCCGACCUUCAACCUCCUAGAUAUAAAGCUAGGCUUGUAGCCAAAGGCUUUACACAAAGGGAAGGAAUUGACUAUAACGAAAUAUUCUCGAUUGUAAAACAAACCUCCAUAAGAAUGCUCUUUUCAUUAUUUGUUCAAGAAUAUUUAGAACUUGAACAACUUGAACAACUUUAUGUUAAAACAACAUUCUUAUAUGGUGACUUGACAGAAGACAUAUACAUGAAUCAACCACAAUGAUACAUUGAAAAAGGUAAAGAAAAUCAAAUAUGUUAUCUUAAAAAAUCCAUCUAUGGUCUAAAACAAUCACCAAAAUGUUGGUACAAAAGGUUUGAUGAUUUCAUCUCUAAACUUGGUUUUAAUAAAAGUUUCUAUGAUAGUUGUGCAUUUAUAAAUUCAAAUUCCUAUUCCUCUAAGGUUUACUUACUCUUGUAUGCAGAUGAUAUGUUGCUUUCAUAAAAGUCAAAGUUUGAUAUUAAAAGAGUUUAGACAGCCUUGAAGGAAGAAUUUGAUAUUAAGGAACUUGGAGAAUCUAAGAGAAUUCUAGACAUUGACAUCAUAAGAGAAAGAACAAAGAGGCUUCUAACAAUUUACCAAAGUAACUAUUGUUAUAAGGUACUUAAAAGAUUUAAUAUGUUAGAUGCUAAGCAAGUGGUGGUUCCUCUUGCACAACAAUUCAAACUAUCAACGGCUAAAUAUCCAAAUCCAGAAGAUCCCAACCAUGUUAAAUACAUGACAAACAUCCCUUACUCACAAGUGAUAGGGAGCAUAAUGUACCUAAUGAUUUCUACCAACCCUGAUUUAUCUUACUUUUCUAGUUUAAUUAGCCUACAUGGCUAACCUACAAAAAAGGCAUUGGGAAGCAGCCAAAUGGGUCCUUAGGUACCUAAAGGGAUCUAUGAAUGCUCAACUAAUAUAUAAAAUAUGUCCUAAAGAACUGUUUAAGCUUUAUGGUUUUGUAGAUUCUGACUAUGUAGGAGAUUUGGACAGAAGAAUGUGACUAACAGGAUACUAUUUCCUAAUUGGAGGCAACCUACUAAACUGGAAAGCUUCACUACAACCUAUGAUGGUCCUAUCAUCUACUGAAAAGCUGAAUAUAUAGCUCUUUCAGAAGCUAUUAAGGAAGCUAUCUGGCUAAAGGGACUACGGAAGGACUUUGGCCUAUGACAAAAAUAUGUAAAGAUCUACUGUGAUAACCAAAGCACCAUUCAUCUGUUCAAGAAUCAACAGUAGAACAGUAGAACAAAGGACAUAAAUAUUAAAUUUCACUUCAUCAAAGAACAAAUUGAAAAACAAUAAGUGGAAGUGCUCAAGGUUCAUACCAGUGAAAAUGCAGCUGAUAUGUUGAUGAAGGUAGUCACUCGAUCGAAGUUCCUUAAGUGUCUUCAAACAAUCGAGUUCCUGGAAUCCGAGAAGGAGUGACUGCAUCAAAUGCUUUGGGAGUCAAGACAUGCACAAAUUUUUCACUCUAUAUCUUUUCAGGUGGAGAUUUGUGAGAAACUCUUACUAAAAAAGUUUCUCUUAUUAUAAAAGACAUAUAGCUAAAUCUCUUAGUCUUAACUUCUGGUGUAACUAGAAUCUUAAUAAAAAUGCUACCUAGAGUCUUAACUUCUGGUCUAACUAGAGUCUUAACUUUCGCUUUUUUUUUCCUCCACUUUUUAUAGCUUGUUAAUAAAAAUGCUAUGGUUUGAUGUUAUUAAAGGACACAUUUGUUGUAGUGAUCAAUAGUGUUACCAGGAUAAGGUACCCAACCUUAUCCCUAUACUAUAGACCCUUUAAGCUAGUCUUGAACAUUGAUCCUUGUAUGUUUUUACAUACUGUUCAAGAUUCAUUAAACAUCUUAGGAUGUUAGUUUAUUGGAUUUGGGUUAUUAAGAAAAAACUAAUAAUUUAAUAAAUAAUGGGAACUUGGUUGAUUUAUUCUAUCAUGGAGUAUUUGAAGCUGCACACUCACACGAUCUUAAUCAAGAGAUAGAAGUUGGACUUGCUUACUGUUAUUGUAUUAAAGCUUAUGAGAGAAAGCUUAGGCAACUCAAGAGACCUAUGAAGUAGGCUCAAGAAUAGUUCAAAGGAGUCAAGGAGAGAGCUCAAGAAGAGCAUCAUGCGGAAGAGUUUAAAGAACUUAGUGUGACUCAUGAGCAAGCUCAUAUGAUUCUACGAGAGAUCCCAAAAAGAGCUUAGUGAAGCCUGGGAAUGGAGCUCAUUUAAACUUAAGGGCAAGCCUCCUAAGAAGAGCUAUAGAAAGAAGAUUCAUAUGGGAGAGCCUAGUCUCCCUAAAAGGAGCUCACAAGUUGAGGAUAACCUACAAGGAAGUGCCUAACCUCUUAAGAAGGGCUCCUAGGAGGAGAUAGAGCUUAGUUAGAAGAGCCUAACCUCCUUAGAGGAGCCCACAAAAGGAAGAGUACCAAGAAUGGAGAGUAAACUUUGAGCAGUACUAAGGAGUUCUUAGAGGACCCAUAGAGAAAGACCUAUGAGCUAUUGAAUAUUGUGAAACCAUUCAAAUUCUGGAACUGACGAGUGUCAUAAAGAGAAUGUUAGAAGCAUUCAUGGGUGUGUUAUAUUAGUAGUAUUUGCGCAUUGAUUACUAACUCUAGAAAUUUAAGAGGGGCAAUUGUGAGCUCAAGCAUCAGUUAUGAAUCAUCAUACUAUAUAAACAACCAAAGUCUGGAAACUAUACAAUUUUCUCUACUAUUUAGUUACUUAGAUGCACAUAAAACUGACUUGAGCCGAAGUAUGUGUAUGGCUGGACUCCACACUUGCGCUUACCUUAUUUUUCUUACGCACUCGAUCUAAUCUUGCUGUAAAACAAAUUUUAAGGUUAAUCCACUUUUUGGCAACACAAGUAAUUCAUGUAUAUAAAAAGGCUUAAAACUGAGGGAACAAUUCUUUGUCUUUUAUAGAGUAUUUAUAUAGUAAUUCAAAUGAUCCCGUCCUUUGGUACAAAGUUUUAUUUUUUACCCACACUAAAAACAGUUUUUGAUGCAGAGUUGUGUUUUUCUAAUUUUAAAAGAUCAAAUUAAAUCUAUUUAUAUUUUCCACAAUUUAACUCAUUUACAAUCUAAAUUCCAUAUAAAAUAUAAAUUUGUUAGGUUAAUUUUCAUAAAUAGAACAAAGGUGGCAAAAUAUUUACGGUCCAUAGAAUAAUUUAAGAAAAGUCCAUUAAGACUGAUUAUUUUUUCAGAAUUCCAUAUUUGUCUAUACCUGUUCAUAACGAUUUUUCAAUUUUGAUUCUUCUUUUUUCCGGUUUUUUCUAUAUCAUUCUCUAUUCUCUCUUCUUUAUGACCUUCGAAAAUAUUCUUUCUGUUCAUCGUCUUUCUUCUCCUCUUCUGCAAUUUUUUUUCUUCUUUUCAUCGUCUUUUUCUCUUCUUCUACAGUUUUUUUUUCAAAUCGUUAUUUGAUUCAAGAUCGUGUACCAAGUAUACGAUAUCUUUUUAAUUUUUUUUCAAAUUCUUAUUUGGUUGUUUAGAUUGUUUGACAAAUAUAAAAGAUCGUGAAAGAAAUCGCUGAGAUAUUGGAUAGUCAAAAUCUAAACGAUCGUGUAUAGCCAAAUUUAAACACCAAGGAAUCUUUAAAAAAAUUGUUUGGAUUUGGUUUCCCAAAUUUAAACAAUCAAAACUAAACAUUCGUGUACAAAAUAGCCAAAUUUAAAUGAUCGUCUACCAAAGAAUCUUUAAAAAAAUUGUUUAGAUUUGGCUGUCCAAAUUUAACCAACAGUCUACCAAAGAAUCUUAAAAAAAUAAUCAUUUAGAUUUGGCUGCCCAAAUUUAAAUGAUCGUCUACCAAAUUUCAACGAUCGUGUAAAAAAUAGACAAAAUUUAAAUGAUCGUGUAAAAAAAUAGCCAAAAUAGCUAAAAUUAAACGAUCGUCUACCAAAUAUAAAUGAUCUUUUUCCAAAAAUCUUGAAAUACAAUGGUUGAAAUUUGACAACCCAAAUUUAAACGAUCAAUCUAAACGAUCGUAUAAAAAAAUAUAUUAAAAAAUCGUUUAAGUUUAGAUUUGAUCGUUUAUAUUUGGAAAGCAAUCAAAUCCUAAACAAUAUUCUUCCAAAUAUUAAACGAUGAUUUUCCAAAUAUACUACGCGCGUUGGUUGCCAAUUAAUCGGGGACAUUUUUAGAAUUUCUAUUGUGGGGCUAUGGACCUUUUUUGUUUUCGAAAUUGUUCUAUAUUGUGCAAAUAUUUUGCCAGUUUGUUCUAUUUUUUAAAAGACCCCAAUUUGUUAUUAUAUUGUCGUUGGAAUUUUGGUACAAAUGACACCUCUUUUAGUGUUGAAAAUGAAAUUUGAUGUUUUGUUUGAAAUCAAUUAAAAUUUAAUCUUUUUUUUGGUUGACGCAAGAAUACCAUGAAAUAAUUUAGAAGAAACAAUUGAAGGCUUGAACAUGGUCAAGGGCUGAUGAGAAAAAUGAUGAUCUCGUUUCUUCCUUUCGUCUCUCGCUUCUUCGUUUUUUUUAAUCAAAUCAGCUUCAUGCUCUCCUUCCAAUUCUUCUUCCUGCGGCUUGAUUCUUGGUCUCGCUCAUUGAUUUAACUCUGUAUUGUAGAGAGAAGAUAAGUAGUGAACAAUGGAAAAGAAGUUAGAAUAUUAAAGAAAAUGUAGAAACGAGCAAGAAAAAGGAACAAAAGAAGAGGAAGCAAGAAUAUAAUCCCGAUGAUUUUGGUAAUUUCAAAAGGGAAUGAUGUAAGCAAAAUGUAAAAAAAGAAAACCUUUAUUUUCAAAUUCCUGCGUGAACUUGUAUUUUAACAUGCAUAGCCUGUUGGAUCUAAGGAAAUUUUUGUUAGCAAUAGCUGUUUGUAUUAAUAAUUAAUACACAAUGCAAUUGGGGUCAAUUUUCAAAAAGAAUUUUGUUAAAAGAAAAAAUUAUCAGUUCUGAAAACACUUUUAAAAUUAGAAAAAAAAUGAAAAACUAAAGUAAGAAAUCAAACAAAUCAUUUUCCUACGAUCUAAACAUUAAAAACAAAAAUUAAUAAUCCCUCAAAGGUUGGAGCCAAUAAAUGUGUAAGAAAAGAGGCUUAUCUAAGAGUAGUUUAUAAUGCGAAUUAAAAGUCAACAUCAAAUUGGACCACAAUCAUAAACACCUCUCACAACACAAUAAAUAAGUAUCUGUUCGAUAGUUUAGUGAUUGAAAACUCAAAACAAGUGGAUAUAUAAGAAUUAUUCAACUUUCAUUUAUGAAUGCAUGUUGAGAUUUCUUUUAUUAGUAUUUUACAACUUUUUUUUUUUUUAUCAACUUGUAACUAGCUAAUUUAUUAUAUUCACAUUUGAUUAAAAUAGUAUAUAUAUAUAAAUUGAGUCGUUCACGAGAACAUGGAUAUCAAAAAAUAUAAUAUUCACUAUUUAUAGACAAUUUGACAUGUAUGAGGUGGAUUAUAUGAACUCUAGAUUAAAGGUUAUUAUCUUUCAGACACAUGACAAUGUAGAUGAUAUAUGGAGGGAGUGACAUAUGACAUUUUGAUACUAAGGGUGCAUUUGGAGGAGGAAAAGACACUAGUACAAAAGUGGUCUACGACGACAGUUAUUUACUGUCGUAAACGAAUUUUGCGACAGUUAUUUUCAAUCAUAGAAGCGGGAGUCAUGGAAAGUCCUUCGACGACAGUGUUCCAAAACUGUCGCAAUAGGUUAUUUUAUGACAUAAUAAAUGUCGUUAAUCAACAUUCAACGACUUCAAAUAACUGUCAUAUUCUAUUUUAUGAUAGUUAAUAACUAUCAUCAUUUCUUUAUUAACGACAGUUAAAUAAAUGUCACGAAUUCAUUUAUUGUGACAUUUAUUAAUUGUCAUGAAUAUGUUAUUCGCGACAGUUUUUUUUUAAAAAUGUCAUUGUUUAGUUAUUGACAACAUUUUUUUUCCGGUUAACGAUUGUGCAAUCGUGACAGUUUUUUCGAUAACAUUAAAUGUCAUUGUUUUGCUAUUGACGACAUUUUUUUGCAGUCAAAUAUAUUGCAAUCGUGACAGUUUUUUUUGAAAAAAAAUUGUCAUUGUUUAUCUAUUGACGACAUGUUAUUCCAGUCACAUAUAGAGCAAUCGUGACAAUUUAUUUUGUUAAAUAACUGUCGUCGUUCUUCAAUUUACAACAAGUAAUAACUAUCACAAAUUCGUUUAUUACGACAAAUUUGAAUUUAUAUAAGUUUCACACCAAUGUACAAAAAAAUAGCCAACACUUUAAUAUAUAUACACUAUAAUACGAUUUAUAAUAUUUGUACAUCUUAAUACAAGUUUCAAUAAUCCACAUGUACAGAAUCCUAGCCCUUAAUCAAAAAAUAUUUUAAAUAGCAUUAGAAUACAUCUAACAAGAUUUUCUGCAGAAGCAUAAACGACCAACCGAGAAUGUUCGUCUCUGGAAAUGUUCUUUGAAAGAAAACUCAUGAAGUUGUCGACUCCAGUUGAACCUACAAAGACAACAUGAAUAUAAGUAUCCAUAACACAUACGUACAAUCAAUGAGUAACUAAAUCAAUGUCUCAACAAAAUACAGAACACAAACAAGAACUUCAACACUUGAUUCCAUGAAAUGAAAAGAAGCAUGUGGAUUUAAAAUUGAAAAAUGGAACACUUGAUUCCAUGAAAUGAAAAGAAGCAUGUGAGGACUACAUUAGGCAAACACAGCAAACAACAAGUUGAAAAAUGGAAGAAAAAACCUGUGGAUUUAAAGUUGCCUUGGAAAGAUGGGUAGUUUUGGGUGAUUCGUUUGCGUUGCAUGAAGAUAAAUGGACUUCUCUGCUUGGUCUUGAUCUUUUGUUGGUAUAUUUUCUAAAUUUCUUUAUAAGGGUAUAUUCAAGAGAUGAUAUGCUUAGUUUGGUUUUAGAAUUGGCUUAUCAAAGAUAGUCGGUUGAAGUGGAAAUAAUAGUUUUUGAGCAAAUCCUGUAUUGUGAAGUGAUGCAGAGUUCUAGUGUGUUACUCAAGUAGUAGGAUCAACAAUUUUGGGUGUGUUGUGAAGUGUGUUGUGAUAUAACUAAUGCAAAUGUAAAUUCUCAGCUGUUUUUAUAACCCAAAUUUAAAAGAAUAGUGUGAAGAAGUGUAAUCCCAAAUUAUCAAAAAGUUGGACAAUCAAUCUAACCUGGUUUGGCGAUACAUAAAGUGGGUUCUCAUAUAGGGUAGGACCUCCAAAACUGCCACCAAAUAUCUUGAUUGGAUUCAAACAGAAUCGUGGGCCAACCUGUCAAAUGCAAUUAUUUGAAGUCCGUGAAAAAAAUUGUGAAAACCCACUUAUAAACUAAACAGGAAGUGGAAUUUGAAUAACCUCAAUGAGUGUCAUUUUAUCAAGUCCUCCUCGAGCGACUUUAUCUGAUUCAUUAUGUGGAACAGAUAUCUGAUCACACCAAACAAAGAAGACAAGCACCAUAUCAUUAAAUAAUAGGUUGGGGAAUAGGUCACACCCACACAAAUCUCAAACAAGAACAAAGAUACCAACAGUUGAUGGAAAAUUGAACAUGUAAGUUUAAAGGAUAACAAUCAAUUAUAUGGAAAUGUAUACAGUGAACUAGAAAAACAAUGAAAUCAUUGACAAAAACAAUGAAAUCAUUGACAUAAGAAAGAAAAAUAGCAAGAUCCCCAACUAGGACUCCUAAAAACUAUUCCCCAAAAUCUGCUUAAUCUCAAACUCUUCAAAUCAAUUAAUUUUUUGCCAUGCCAAAUUCCUUUCCUAAUGACGAUUGUAUGCCUCAUAUCUUAAGGACGACACUUCUGACAUUUAUCCAUAUAUACCUUAACGUACUUCAUUAAAAACACGCAUUGUUCCUCAGGUGGUGUUGCUAACGGAGUGAUGGUUAUAAAUAAAGCAUGAUCAUGGUUAGUAUUAAAUUCUGUAGCAAGUAGGAAAUAAAUAAAGCAUACCUGGUAAUUCCAGAACCAGAUAUGGUCAUCAACAAUAGAGAAAACAAAUACAUGAUCAUGGUACGGUUUAGAAUGUCGAUGCUCCUUAGGAGUUCCAAAAAUCUGAGAGAAAAACACAUUGGUGAGAUAAAAGUAUGUCAUGCAAAACAAGAGUUAAUAGCAAUCGUUUUAAAAAAUCCCAUUAUUUGGAGAAGCAGCAAGGAUCUACAUACUUUUCACAACAUAGUAAAUAUGCAUAUGUGAAAUCAGAAAUUAAUAAAGGCAGCAUGGAAAGAGAAUAAUAGUGGUGAGGCACCGGCAUUUUAGAAUGGGCACAAGUAUUCAUUAACCAUAUUCUUAUGCCAUGAUAUUACAUGAAAGAAGUGCAUUAUGAAUAUCUUUUAUUUUUCUUUCCAAAUAAGAAAAAACUGAAAGAAGCUACUUCGACUACAGUCAUGCAGACCAUUUUAUCAAUUCAAUACGAUGUUAGCUUUGGAUUGAAGGAGCAAGGAAAUGAGCAAAAAAUGCGUUUAAUGAAGAAAGACAAGGAAAUUGACAUUUGCCUCAUACAUUGAUCCACGAGUAAGAAUGAAAAAUCAUUUCAACAUUCAAAAAUUAAUUGUUAAAGACAAAACUUUGCCAUUGGUACCUGAAUAAUCAUUUCCUUCAGAAGUUUCCAGUGGACAUCUUUAUCAAAAUUUGAUGAAAAUGUCAAAAUUGGACGGGAACCUUUCAGAUGGUUCCCUGUAAGCUUCAAUUCUUCCAUUGUAUGCACUGAAAGCAAAAAAAAAAAAAAAAAAAAAAAAAAAAUGGACAAGUAAGAAAACUUCAUUUAAUAAAGAAAUCAAAUAAAAUUUUAGUAACCAGUAAUAAAAUUUGAAUACAAGUUAAAAUUACUGGCAUUAACUAAAAACUUCAAUGAAACAUUUUGGACUUAAAGAAGAGCAGAAACAGUAAUGGUUAAUCAGUGGGCAAGUGAUAGCCAUUAGGAUAGAACUCAAAUAUUUUUCUCACAGGAAAAAACUUUCAAAGGCAGUUACCAUCCGUAAUCCAGCAAUGAAGUGUACGCCCAUAUCCAGAAUGAAACCCCUCUGACACAAGACAUAUGUUGUCAAUGAAAGAUAACAUUUAAGAAUACAUCAUGGGGAUAAAAAGAACAAAAAGAGAGAGAGAGAUAACAUAGAUAUAAAUGUAGAGGUCUUGUUAUUGGGCAAUCCAUUAUACAAUAGUUCCAUCUAUAAUAAGAACAUCAUAUUCUUCCAUGAAAAAGUGUAAAAGUGGCAAUCAUGAAUCAUGAUUUGAUGGGAAAAAUGAAAACAACAUAGAUAAUAUUUAAAAUUUGUGUUAUGGUUGUUUACUAGAAGAACACUUACAGCGAAGUCCCGCCGCCAAGAGCUUGAGAAGUAGGGGUUCGAACUAUUCAUUGAUCCUUCAACAAUCACUUGGACGCUCAUCAUAUCCCCAACGUCAGCAAUUAAGUUUUUGCACUGCAAAACAAUAAAGAGCAUUUUGCCGAAGUACUAGAAAGAAUAAAAAAACAAGAAUAAAAAAUAAUCUAAAAAAAGUACCUCAACAAAUGCAUAUUCCAACUCGCUUGUGGCUGCAUUACGACCAUAUUGCCAAUUUAGAAAUUGCUCUUUGUAAUAUCUUCAACUUAGACCCAAGCCAUUUUGAAUGCAACUUUUUCAGUGUACGUAAAAUGACUUUAUGGGGUUCAUGGUUGAUGAUAUUGAUUUGGGUUUUUCUUUCCUUUUUUUCCUUUGCUAAAAAAGGUUAAGAUAAGAGAGCCACUACCUUCAACUUAAUAUAACUUAUAAGAUGAAAUAAUUUUUCUCUGUGAUCUAUAAAGUUGCAUUAUUUAUAUCCUAUGUCUCAACUGGUCCAUUAGAACUUUCAUUGUCAUAUCAGUUUCAUAAAUAGUGGUAAUAGGAAGACAACAUCUAGUCUCGAUAAAAGUGAUAUACAUUGGGAUCUAUACUAUGGGCAAUUAGAAUUUAUACUUCCAGAUCAAUAUUCUCAUUUCUCAAGAGAGAGACUAUUGGGAUCAUAAAAUAAUACUAACAGAAAAUCUGGCACUUGGCAUGCAUCUUUGGGAAAAAUAUAUUAGGUAAUGAACCACCAGGAACAAUGCUUGACACCGCUAAGUGAUCCAUGUUGGGGGAGAACCAUAAAGAGGAUCUCAAUUGAAAAGAAUUAUGUCAAAUCUGUGAAUCUAACCUUUUACAAAUGGAUCUUUUCAAAAGAGUUUACAACAAACUUUACCUUUAAAAGGAGUUUGAUAAAGGACUUCAAGCGUGAAAGUCCAAAAUCACAAACCUAAAUAAAAUACCACCAGAUAUGUACCACAUUAAUUGAUCAAAGCAAACACACACACUAGAGAGAGGGAGUAGGAAAAUGGGAAGGAACUAGCACAAUCACUAAGAACAUGAUUUAAGUAUCAACAAAAAGUCAAUAUUCUCCAAGCAAAAACAUGAUAACUAAUCAUAAAGAAUUAUGAUUAUGUUUUAACUAAUCAAAAUUUUAUUCAAAGGGUCUUAUCCCCUACCUCAAAAGAAAGUUAACUAAUAAAAUUAGAACCAUUAAAAUAAAAUCUAGUUCACCAGGAUUCCACUAAAAUAACAUUCUAAAAUGAUUUCCUCCUAUGUACAUUCAAUAAUCAAGAUUUCCUCCCAUGGGCAUUUCAUCAAACAAUUGGUGGGCAACACAAAAGAAAGAAUAUUCAUUUACUUAGUGGCAGCCAGAAAUCUAGAAAAAUUAAGGAAUAAAUACAAAAAUUUGUGAAGAACAUAUCUUAGAUGCAAUGUUGAGAAUUGAGUUUCAAGUUUAAUUGAAAAAAUCGGCAGGAGCAAGAACUCGAUUCUUCUUAAAUUUCGACCAUGGGAUUUUGUAUCCAGAAACCACUUUGCAAUCUAGCAAAUAGCCUAAAGCUUUAUUCAAAUGCAAUCUAGCAAAUAGCCUAAAGCUUUAUUCAAGUAAUAAUAAGGGAUGAAGAAAUUAUAAUUGCCUUUUGGAAAUAAGGAUAAGAGGUGGAACGAAUCUGAGAAAGGCGAGAUUUGGAGGCUUCAAUGGUAGACUCCAAAGAGUGGUCGUAGCCCGUUCGUCGUGUAGUAGAAGAGGUACAAGCGGCGUUGGAGUGGGGAGAUGACCACGAGGGGGCAGUGCCGAUGAUGGACCUCGUCGUCGUCUGGAGAAGGGAGUUCAAGGAGUUCGGAGAUUGGGAGGCGAAAGGGAAGAAAUCUGAAAGGGGAGGCGAAAAGGGAGAAAGGGGAGAAAGUAGAAAGGGGAGGCAAAAGGGGAGAAAGACGAAAGAAAGGGGAAAGGGGAGAAGGGAAUAAGUUAAAAAUCCCUAAAAAAGUUAUUAUUUUUUUAUAUUAAAUAUAUUAUUUUAUUAUUAUUUUAUUUCUAUUUUAUGACAUCAAAUAACUGUCGUGAAAAAUAUUUUCCGAAAAUUUCCGUCUUUUCCCGCCAAAAACGCGUUUUUUCCCUUUCGUGACAUUUUUUUUUCCUCCAUCUAUUUUGUGAUAUAAAUAAAUGUCAUAGUAGAGGGUUUUUCUUCUAGUGAGAGUUAUAAAGGAAAAUGAUUAUGAUAGUCCUAAGCUGCUUAUGAUAAUCCAAGUAUUAUAAAAUAAUAUUUAUUUGGGGUUAAGGUUAUUAUUGGUAGAAUUAUGGUAACAUGUGUUUGGGAGAAGAAAUACGAAUGGUAGUGUUAUGAUAGUAUGUAUUUGGAAGAAUGAUUAUUGUUGUAGUAUUAUGAUAAUAUACGUCUAGGGGAAGAGUUUUGAUUGCAGUGUUAUUAUAACAUGUGUUUGGUCGAAGGGUUAUAAGUGUAAUACAAUGAAAAGAUGUAGGAAAAUUUGUAGGAUUAUGAGAAGAUAAAGUAGAAAAAUUUGUAGGGUUAUUUAACCCUAAUUUCCAAUUUUACAAACAACCAAGACCUUUUUUCUAAUCUCUUGACUCUCUAUCCCAAACACAGCCUAAGUAUAAUGAAGUUCUGAUAAAUUUAAUAAUAUUAAUAUUAUAAACAUGAUUCUAGGAAUUUUAACAAUAAAAAAUAUUAGAGAAAUAAUAGAUCAAACUCAAAAUUAUUCAACAACUAAUGGCCGUGGCUAUAAACAUAAAAAAUUUAGUGUGGGUUAUAAAAACGGAUUAUUGUUUAAUGUCAUAAUUAAUAAUUAUUGGGAGACUAAACUAAUCUGGUUUGCUUAGUUAAAUUGAAAAUUUUGAAAACAAAGUAUGCACAUCCUAUGCGAAUGUUUAUAAGACCGAGUCGAAUCAGGGCUUAGUUUAAUUAUCAUUAAGGUAUUAUAAUGUUGUUCAAAAGGUUCAUGCAUGGUUCAAAUAUUUCACAUCCUUGCACGUCCUUGACCAAGUAAAAUGAAAAAAAAUAUAUAUAUUAGAGAACCGAUAAUUAGAUAUUGGUUUUAUUUUGUUUUUAAAAAGUAUUUGAAUCUUAUAUUUGUCUAUAUACCUCAACGUUGUUGUACACAGACUCUUGGAUAAAACGUGAAGGAUCAUUCACAAUUAUUAAUAUUAUUAGAGAACAAUAGAGUUAUAUAAAAGGGGCUCUUCCAAAAAUAGCAAAAAGAAAAUUACGAUAACAUGACUCAUCAUUACAUAUUUUAAAUUGUAAAAGUAGAAAAUUUAAGAGCCGGUAAUCUUAUAUUUUAUGAUUACCGUCUGAUAGCUCUCUAAUAGUCCUAUAACUACCGUCUGAUAGUUGUCUGAUAGCUCUCUAAUAGUCCUAUAACUACCGUAUGAUAGUUGUCUGAUAUCAUUAAUUUGAUAUAUUUACAAUAUGCAAAAAAUAGUUGUUAUAAGCUAUUUUUUUCAAAUGUUUUUGCCAUUUGAUGCAAUUUUCCUACUUAAAAUUUGUUUAAAGUAUUUUGUAUUGUUAUUGCACAUUAAAAUUUUCCUUACUAAUUCUAAACAAUACAUUUGAAAUCAAUUAAAAAGAGAAAAUGAUAUUCAUAUAUAUUGCAAUGAAAAGUAUUAGUUAAACAAUAUAUUGGCACACGGUGUCCCUUUUCGCUACUAUUCAUAUGUUAAUAGUUAUUUUUUAUUUUAUGAAUAUUAUUUUUUCUCUUGUCUUUGAGUAAUGUGUUUUCAUUUGUUUAGCUAGAUUCCGUAUCUUUCCAUUAUGGUUCAAUUUAAACACACAUUUAGUUAUAUUUACAAAAUCAAACCAAAUAAUACAAAUUGUAUGACUUUUAACUUUCCUUCCUUCUUUUUUUAUUGACAAGUUGUUUUUUUUCAAGAAAGACCAACUAGAGUGGAAGGGAAAUUAGCAAUCACUUAAUAUUUUACCAUUAAAAUUAUUUAGUUUGAAAAUUUCUAUAUAAUUAUAGAGAAAAUUCAAACUCAAGCCGACCAAAAGCCAAUGAUUCCUACCAUCAAACCAGUUCUGUUCGAUAAGUAGAGAAUUCAAUGUUCGAAAACUACAGAUAUCAAAUUUAUCCAUUGAAUUGUACAAAGUAUCGUUCUUAGAAUGGUGAGUCAACAGUAAAGGAAUUGAGUUUCUGGUAGAAGCUAGAAGCUAGUGUGUGAGGGUCAUGAUUUGGAAUUUAAUCUAAGAUGGUAAUGACUUACCUUCGUAAAGAUUCUUUAACAUUAUUAGCUUGUAAGCGUCUUGAAUGAAUGUCUUGAAGAACAACGAUCUUCCCAUUUUAUAGGAAGGAAAAACUUCAAAAUGGACAAGAAAAAGGAUUUUCCGAUUAAAAGAUCUUUUCGGUAACAAAUCUUGUUGAUGAAGAAACUUAAAAUAUCUUCUAAAAAUAACCUCUUAUGAGAGGAAGAGACAUCAACUAAAGGAUCAAUAAAAAUCCCUAAAAUCUUGAAAGAUAAUUUUCCUUUUUAAAAUAAACUAAUAAAAAGAAACUAAAUAAACUUUUUUUGUAAACCCCGAAUCCUGAGUCUUUAAGGAAUUCAUUAACUUUCAAAACUUCCAAGGAGUUGAAGGAUUUACUUAGGAGAAUUAGAAAAUGAAUUUGUAUUGAUUUUUUUUAGUAUUUAUGGUCGUAUCGAAGAGCUCGUAAAAAGCUAUUUAAGACAAGUAUAGUGACUUGGACAAAAAUAAAAUUAUAUUUUAUGACUAGGUUAAAAAGGAAAUUUUAGUAAUAUUUUCCAAAUUUCAUAGGAUGCACGUCGUUAUUGAAGUGUCAUGUUUGGAGAGUCAUGAAAACUUCAAUUGAAAAGGGAAGGAAAUUGUCAAAGGAAUAGAUUUGGUGGUAAAAAGAAGUAGGCAUGUCAUGACAAGAAAAUUGUGUUACUAUUCAGUAAGAGGUAGAAGGGAAGGCUUGAGUCAUCCAAGCUGUGAUGUAAAGAGGUUAGUAGGUGGUGUCAAGUACCUAAGUGGUGACAAGCAUUAGCCAAGUGAUAACUUGCAAAAACACAAGUUAUUAUAGCCUCUUUUAUUAGAAUAACGAGGCCAAAACACAUAAGAAGAGAAUCAAAACGAGUAACUCUUAUAUUACAAAUUCAUAAGUAUUCAUAACUACACUUUACAUAAUCAUUAUGUCAUUUUACGUGGUUUUCAGUAUCUAAACACAUGUCAAUAAACAAAAGAAGAAGUUAGCAAAUUGCAGAGUCUCUCAUGAGAAGAAUAGACGAGCAGACCAAAUCACAAUGCGAGAAGCGGUUUAAAGAAAAUAAAAAAUAUUUUCUUUUUUUCAAUUCUUUUGUGUAUUAUAAUUACGCCUUAUGUAAUUUACAUUCCUUUGCACUUGUGUUCCUCUUAGUAUAAGUAUAACUUUUGAUACAAUUCUUUGGUUUCAGCCUUUCUUGUCGCAAGCUUGGCUCCCUGCAUUUUAGUAUUCUAAUUUUUCUCUGUUUCAAUGAUACUUCAAUAAAGUAAAUUAUGCGAAAUAAGGUUUCAUUCGUUAUUCGGGCGUUUAACUUGUUAAGGAAACUUAUUUAGGAAAUAUUUCUAUAGUUUAUUAUGCGAGCAAGCUUUACCUCAAACUGCUUUUGUAAUCUUUUUUCCGCGAAUAGUCUUAUCAUUCACAUUUAGCAAUGAGAACAUCGUGAAUCUCUAAAUUUUGGGGUGUGCGAGGUUCUCGCUAAAGCUUUUGAAAAAUUGUUGUAAAAUCCUCCUGGGCAUCUUUGAAAUAUAAGAGGUUUUAACAAAAGUUAAAUCUUCGCUAAAAAUUUAAAAAAAUAUGUAUUUAUUUAUUUAAUAUAAAUAACAACUCAUAUGUUGCCUCCUUAGCAAAAAUAAGAAACAUAGCUUCAAAAGUAAAAAUUAGAAAGUUGAGUAAUAAAAGGCGAUAAGGGUUACAGUUGCAGAGAUAAAUGGACUCAAAGAGUGUCUAUGAUUUUCCACUCAACUCCAAUCCACAAAUAAAAAGCUUAAUCAAAAGUAUUCUUUUGCCGAAUACAAGGAUUCAAAAAUUUUAAAAAAAUUUAGCAAUUUUUUAUUCUAAAAUAAGAUCUACUAUGGGGAAUGAACAAAGGUAUUUUGAGUAUUAAAUUUGUCACGUUCUAAACAUAGAAAUAUUUUUCGUCGCAAGAAUUACGUGAUGAGAGUAAACCCUAAAUAAUGAAUAAAACUUGCUUGUAUUUUGAGAAGUUUAGAAAUGCAAAGAGGAAGGUAAGUCUUUAAGGAGGAAUGGUGCUUGAGAACAAGCAUAAUACAGACUGAUGCUUGAGGAUAAACAUUAUUCUAAAUUUGAGGGUGUGAUAACUUGUAGAAAUACAAGUUAUUAUAGCCUUUUUUAUUAGAAUAACGAGGUCAAAACGCAUAAGAAGAGGAUCAAAACGAGUAACUUAUAUUGCAAAUUUAUAAAUAUUCAGAAAUACACUUUACAUAAGUAUUAUGUUUGUUUUACGCGGUUUUUAAUAUCUAAAUGCAGGUCUAUAAAGAAAAGAAGAAGUUAGCAAAUCGCAAAGUCUUUGGAGAGAAGAAUAGUCGACAAGACCAAAUCACAACUUGAGAAGCAGUUUGCUAAACGACGGAAAUGGUAGUUAGAGAUAAAGUGACAAGUCACAGAUAGCUUUUAGCAUACAACGCUGACAUGUUUAGAAGAAUAGAAAUUUUCCCACCAAAAUGCUACCUAUAAAAGAACUCCAUCCCUACCAAGAAAACAAUGACUAGACGUCUAAAUAGACCAACCAAAGGCCCAAAGGCCUAAAUAGGCCUAACCCUAGAGAGUGGCAGAAAUAAAUAGCUUUUCUGCGGUCUGUAAAAGUCCUUUUUCUUCGAUUAGUUGUAAAAGUUAGAGCUUGGCUCCUAAGAAGGGAAGAAUCCAUACUCCCUAUAUCCCCUAACUUGUAAUAUUUUUCAUUAUCUUUUCUCUCCAUUUUUAUACUUUUUUGUAAUAUAUGUUGUUCAUAUUGUACAAUGACCGAAGGCCUACAUUCUUCAAUAUAUAUUACAUGUUUAUCGUUCAGUUCGUCACUUCUUGACUUUCCACUAGUCAAUGAGUUGUUAGUAGUUUAGGAUUGUGAAUAGUUCUUAAUAAGAAAUAUAACUUAUAAUUCUUGUCAAGUUAGUUGAGCUAUGUUCAUUGUUUGGUCAGCGUCAAUCGUCAACUACCCGAGAGGGCAAGGAACAAGGAUAAUGUUAACGCGCGUAAGGAGGAGUUUGGAGACAAACUCUACCUUGCGAGAUAAGUUCUACCAUUUGAGUCCUGAAAGGCGAACAAGUAUAGACAAUAGGUGUUGAGAGGUUGUUGUUCUUAAUUGCAAAGUUCUAUAAGUAUUAUAAGUGAAUUCUUCUAGAUAUAUCUCGCCUAAUCAAGCUUAGUCACUUGCAUCUCGAAAGGUGAGCAAGUGUGGUGUCUAAAGACUUUGAGAGAAGCUCGCCUUAAUCAUAAAUUAGUUGAGCAAGUUAUAUCGCAUCAAGACUCUCGCAUUGCUUAAUCGCCUAAUAAUGCAUAGAUCUUUCUUUAUCUCUCUUCCUCACAUACAAGUUAGUCCGCAUCUCAAUUUCACAUCCAUCUAUUCUCAUUUACAGAUUCUCCAGGUGUACAUAAGUAAACAGUUCUGAUUCAUUUAUACGUUGCUUAAUUAAUUCUUUUAUACCGCCUAAUUGAUGAGUAGAUUCUAGAACUAAAUUUUGAUAGCAAUUCCCUGUGCUCGACUCUUAAUCACCUAAAUAAACAUAUUGCUUCACUUAUACUUAGACAAGUACUAGGAAAACUUGUACUCAACAAGGACUCAGUAGUUUCGUGAUAAAGAAGUACAUAAUGAGUACUUCGUAUACAAUCAUCAUGAUCAAUGACUUAUCGCAUAGAAUUACUCACCCCAGCAAUCAAGUUCUUCGCGUCGUUGGUUAACAAAACACGUGAGAGCAAGCACCAAGCAGAAUAUGAUGUGUAUGAAGGAUAGUACAAGGUGUAAAGUAACCAAGUAAGUGGUGUCAAGUGAUGGCCAUGCAACCAUGACGUGGAAAGGGAAAGUAGGAGGUGUCAUCACAAACGCAUGCAAGCAUCUCUAUAAAUAGUAACUGGUAACUUUUAAGAAGGAAUGCUACCAAUCUACUUGUGUCAUUUCCUUGUUUCCACUUGCUAUACCUCACAAAUUGAGUGUAGUUUGUAGUCUUGGGAUGCCAACCAUAUUGGAGUAAAGAAGGUUCAAGGUUCAAUUGAGAAAAGGGAGAAGGGUCAAUUUUUAGAGCAAUCUGAACAAGGUGCACUUCUGGAGAGCUAUAGAGCACAUAACUUAGAAUUUAGUGCUAAAAUUUUGGGAUAAUAUAUUUAAGACAACUAUAAGCAACUCUAUAGAAGGAAGGUUUGUCAUUUAUAUUAUGGAUUGUAAUUUAUUAGCCUCUAAAGUUGGAAGAAGGGUUCUAGGCGAGAACUCAGUUUCUGGGCAUGACAUAGGAAAGCCAAACAAUAGGGGCAUGCGCGUGCGGCACCAGGCACAUGACAUCAUGCAUGUCCAGUACCCAGCACAUAGGUCAUACAUGUGUGCGAGGUUUGCAUGUGACCAGGGCUAUGUGUUUGCACCAACAGCCCUCUGCCGCCUAUCAGCGCUUGUCAGCCACCUACCUACCACCCAUCAGUGCAUACCAGCCCCCCAGUUGCCCACCCUCAAGUGUCAUCCAAUGCCAAAGGGCUUUUUCUGGUCAUUUUUAAGUAAUAUUUUGAUAUUUUUAGGAUUAAAGGGAAUUAAAUAAAAUUAUUUCCCAUUAAUUCAGGUCAAGAGGAGAUCGUGCAAAUUUACAUGCCGAGGAUUUAAGCUACCAUCUGUGAGUGACACAAUGAUUUCUAAAUGAAAAUUCUAAAUUUAAUUUACAAGCUACCAUUUAAAUAUGUUUUGAAAUGAUUACUAAGCUUUAUAGAUUAUGCUAUUUGAUUUGCAAAGCAUGUUAUGAAAAGUACUUGAGUAUGCUUAAUUUGAAAAGACAUGUAUUUAUUAAUGAGAUUUGGAAGCAAUGAUUUAUGGGCAAUCUUGAGUUUAUGAGUUAAGAGUGUUUACUCUUUUAAAAGAUAAUUGAAAAGCGUGAGUUUAAUGAGAAUGGUUUUAAAGAGAAAAUCAUGGUAUUCUAUAUACUGAGUUCUCAAUGGUUAAUGUGCACAAUCUGGCGUAUGGAGCUUUGCUGACCACUUAGCCAGCUACUACCGAGAUUUGUCAGGAAAGUAAGACCAAAGGUGCGCUACUAUCUUGACCAAGAUUUGGCAAGAUGGAAAGACCAAAGGUGCUCUACUAUUCUAAUCGAAAUUGUAAAUUAGGCACGAUAGGUUGAGCUAGUUACUAUCGUAACUGAGUUUCCUAGGUAUAGAAUAUACAGAGAUAAAAGUUUAUUUGAAAGUCAGAAAGAAUUUAGCACAAGGAAGUUCUUAAGAUUUUAUUCUUAUGUCAAGCACUGUGAAUGAUUUGUGUAAAGUGUUAAAGUGUAUUUGUUUUAAAAGUAUGUUGUACAAAAUCAUCAGUCACAUAACUUUUUAGUUCACCCUUUCCAAAUGUUUUUCCCACUUUCCAAGUAGUGAUCGUGAUCCGAGAGCCUGACCGUUGUCUCCAAGUCUGUUGUGCAAUCUUGUUUAUACUUUUGUUGCUAUGGUCAGUUUUAGAUCUAUAUAUGUCAUGUACAUAAGUUUUUGUUUUAGGUUAGAUUAGUUAAGAUAUUUCUUUUGGGUUAAUGUGUUCUCUAUAAAGAAACGGCGUUUAGCCUAAACUUAUUUUGAAUUAAUGUAAAUAAGUUUGUUUCAAGUUUUUUUUAUCGUAGUAUCCACUGCAUAAGUUUUUGAUUUACUCAAGUUAUUUAGUGUUACAAAAGGUUUAGAAGUCAGGAUCAAUUGGUGCUAUUCAAAAGGGGAAUGAUGUUAAUUGACUUAAGUGAAAAACAUAAUUUACACUCGGGCGCGUAAGGUGCAUGUGCGUCUCCCAAAAAGAAAAAAAUUAUCACAUUUCACGAUCAACGGUGGUUUCGAAUGUGGUUUUCGGUGGUCUUCUUUAGUUAUUUUAUCAUCUUCUGUCUGAGUAGGUUCAUUUUGAUUCGGGUUUCAAUUCAUUGUGUAGUAUUGGAUCUACUUGAAAUGGCCAUCAAAUUGAAAUCAAUUUUGAUUUCAAAUAAUCCUUUAGUUUAUUUUCUCUCAGAUGGUUUUAGUGCAAGUGUAGCCGGUAAAUCCUCCGAGCCUCUUUAUGCUAAAAUUUCUAGUGGAUUUCAAAGGCAAUUGUGCUAUUGGUGUCUUAUUUUUCUUGGCCAAAACUGUCUUCAGUUGCUUACGACACCAGUGAGGUUAAAUAAUCCUAAAUCCUCGAUCAAUGGUGAGAUAAUGAAAAUGUUUGAGUGCAGUGAAGUGACGACAGUGAAGCAACGAGCUUUGACGGGCCUAAAUGUGUGCACAACAUGGUUGUCAAAGAUCGGAGAGUAGCGGCAGAAAGCGGUGACCUAAAAAUUUGUCAAUGUCAAAACGAUCUAAGUUGAAUAACCGAUCAGGUGAACUAGGAGAGAACCGCAUCUCCGGGCUUUCUAAAAAAAAUCAUAAAUUUGUUGUUGGGCUGCCAAACAAAAUUGAUGAUGGGACAAACAUUAAUGGGCCUUAUGGUGGUGGGCUUAAGAACUAUAGAACUACAUGUGGGCUGGCAAAUUGGUAUGGCAGAUGGGCAAUCGGAUGGAAUUUUUUUUUAUAAAAUUUCAAUGGGAUCGGUUGGUAAUUUGGAAGGACGGGUUGAUUCAAGUAAGCAAAAAAGGUUGCCGCAUUUAGAUAUUAGCGGUUUGAAGUCUUCAUGGGCUUCUCUAUUUGGCUCAUCAAGUGGAAAUUCACUACUUUAUACACAUGCUACAUUCGUGGGGGAUAAAAUUGUAGUUACACCUUCCGAGGAGGUUAUUGCUCAAGGAGUUUGAGUGUGGGAAAAUUCCUUAGUAGGGCAAUUAAUUUAUGCAAAAAUGCCUUAUGCAAUCAUAUAUUAGCUUAUCGAGAAACUCUGGAGUAAAAUUGAAAUGCCCACGAUUACGAUUCUUGAGAACGAACUGAUCUGUUUCCAAUUCAGACGUCCAAGAUUUGUUGAGUGGAUCCAAUCUUGUGAACUGGGGCAUCUUGGUGGAAAACCUAUUCUCCUUCGUAAAUGGACCCCAGGUGUUGUCUCUGAAUCCUUUGUUUUUUAUUCUGUUUCUAUAUGGAUUAAACUUGGUAGAAUUCAAAUGGAGCAAUGAAUAGAUUUCAAAUUGGCUGUUGUUGCUAGUGCUAUAGGCAAAUCCCUAUCUUUAGAUCUAGCUACUAAGGAAAAAUGAAGACUGUCAUAUGCGAGAGUAUGUGUUUAAUUAAAUGUGAACUCACCUAUGCCUACUAAAAUUACAGUUAACCUUAGGGGAGUGGAAUUCAUUGUGACUAUAAAUUAUGAGUGGAAGUCUCGAAAGUGUAAUAUGUGUAAGGCUUUUGGGCAUUCUGGUGGUAAGUGCCCUAGGAGUGUGGAGAAUAAGGUUCUUCAGAAGGAGGAUGUGAGUAAGGUGGUUUCUAACAAAGAGGAGGAACCGACAAAUGUGGCUUGUGGAGAUGUGGUGUUGAAGUUGUUUAAAUAGUUGGAGGAAGGGGAGAAUAACAGUUCCCCGAUUAUGACAAGUAAAGAAAAGGAGGUGGGUAAACGAGAUGGUUUUACUCUUUUCAUUCAAAAGAAAAGGUAGUUGGUUUAUGUUCGAGAUAAGGGUAAAAGUGUGGAUGUGACUAUGUCUAACUUUUUGGCAGCCUUAUAGAGUUGGGCGAAGGAGACAACUAGGCCCUAUCCAUAAUGGAUGGAUACCCUCCCCCUUACAGGUGGACGACACUGCCAUGAUUCUUAGUGGUAUACCAUCCGAUGAUAAUCCUGCUGAAGUGAAGACUCCCAGUACCUCUCAUGAUUGUGGGUGUUCGUGGAAUGUGUGGGGUCUAAAUAGCCUUGUAAAGUGUAGAGCGAUGUUAGAUUUCCUGAGCAUGUCUUUUGUGGAUUUCUGUUAUCUUCUAGAAACUAGGAGUUCGGGAAGAAAAUUUUUGUUCUAUCUCCAGAAGGUUUGGUGAUUCGUGAAGUUACACUUGUAGCUAUAAUAGCAGUGGUGUUGGACAUAUCUAGAUAAUGUGGAGAGGAGUCGCUUCACUUUUUCUCCAUGUUAGGUGGAAGAUCAGUUUGUUUCUGGAUCGUUAAUUUAUUUGCUCUCUACGGAUUAUGUGGAGGUGCUUUGUGUUUAUGCCUCUAAUAAUAAUAUUGAGAGACGUUUACUAUGGGGUCGGUUGGUUGAGAUCUCUUCUAGAUGGACGGGGCUGGGUGUUGUCAUGGGUGACUUUAAUGCUAUCAAACUUCAUUAUGAAGCUUUUGGUGGGUCCCAGAAGAUAUGGAGGAGUCUGAUAUGGCUACAUGUGAUCUUGUUGAACUAUGGUGUAGGGUAACUGGUUCACCUGAGCUAGUAAGGUUCAUGAGUCUGGUUUGAUGAGGCGGCUUGAUCGUAUUUUGGUUAAUGAUGAUGGAAUAGUAACAUGGCCUAGUAUGAGAGUUAGUGUUUUACCCUGGGACAUUUUUUUAUCCCUCCCCUAUCUUAUUCUAUCCUAGAGUGUAGCAGAGAUAGAGGGUGGUUUCUUUUUUAUUUUUUAACCAUUGGGUUGAGGAUGCUUCCUUUAUAGAUGUUGUAUCUUUGGUUUGGGUUUGCCAUGCAGGGGUUUACCCAAUUGUGACUUUUGUGACAAAUUUACAAAACCUCAAGCCUACCCUCUAAAGACAGUUUGGUAAGCACAUUUAAAGUCUUAGUGAGGAGGUUCGUAUUGCUAAAGAGUCCAUGGAUAGAGCUCAGAGAGAGGUUGAACGAAAUCUUAUGUUUGAAGUUCUGAGUCAUCAAGCUGGAUUUGCCACUAAGGCUUUUUGGACGGCUAUUAAACUAGAGGAAGCCUCUUUGCGUCAGAAGUCCAGGAUUCGAUGGCUGAAGUUAGGUGAUCGGAACACUGAUCUUUUCCACUAAUCUAUUCAUUCUCGUUUGAGCUGUAAUUCUAUGCUUUAUGUGGUGGAUUCAGAAGGCUCUAGGGUAACUACUCACGAAAGGGUGGCUCAGGUGGCAGUCAAUUAUUUUCGUAACAGUUUGGGUUCUUAGAAUAUUGACUAUAGAGAGUUGACCCUUGGAUUAAGGAUAUUGUUUAGUUUAGGUGGUUUGAGGAGUGUUGUCAGACUUUACAGGCUCCUAUUGAUUGUGAGGAGGUUAGGAGAGUAUUAUUUUCUAUGGAUAGUGGUAAGACUUAUGGUCUUGAUGGGUAUGUUGUGGGUUUCUUCAAAGGUGCCUGAUCUGUGGUUGGGGAGGAUUUUUGUGAUGCUAUUGUGCAUUUCUUUGAGACUUGUUAUCUUGCAUAUGGACUGACUACUACUGUUAUUACUCUCAUUCCAAAACGUUGUGGGGCUGAACGUAUGAAAGAAUUCAGACCUAUUUCUUGUUGUAAUGUGAUUUACAAAUGUAUUUCUAAGAUUUUGACUGAAAGGCUUCGUGUGUGGCUUCCUUCUUUUGUCAACAGUAACCACACCUUUAUUCCUGGGAGGAGUAUUAUUGAUAAUAUUCUUCUAUGUUAGGAGCUUGUUGGGGGUUAUCAUACUAACUCUGGUAAGCUUUGGUGUACUAUGAAAGUUGAUCUUCAAAAAGCUUAUGAUUCUGUUAAUUGAGACUUUCUUUUUGGCUUGUUGACGGCUAUUGGCACAUACUUGAGGUUUGUAAGGUGGAUUAGAGCUUGUAUUACCUCUUGGAUGUUAUCCAUUAUGAUCAAUAGCUCUUUUGAGGGGUUUUUUUGCAUAUAAAAAAGUGACUAACCAAUUGAAAUAAAUUGAAAAUUGAAAAGAGAGUGGUGAAAAUUGAGGGAUGAGAUCCGUAAUUUUACCAUUCUAAACUUUAGACAUUAUUUUUUAAUUUAAAAAAAUGAAAAGAAAAUGACACAAGAAAAAAAAAAAAAAAGGGACCACACACAAAUUGCCACUCCUACAAGGAGGAAGUAAACAGGAAUUUCCAUUUUGUAAGGUCUCAGCCUUCCAAAGCUGACCAAUUAUCUAUUUAAUCACCCCUCUCUUCUUCUUCUUCAUUCAUCUCCAUUCAUCUCCAUUCAUCUUCAUUCUUCUCUCUUCUUCAACAUAAAUUGUCUUCCAUCUCCAUCCGCCAUGGUUCUCUCCAAAACCGCCUCUCAGUCCGAUGUCUCCGUCCAUUCCACCUUCGCUUCCAGAUAUGUCCGAACCUCUCUCCCAAGGUAAUAUUUUAUUCAUACCCGAUCAGAUAGAUCCCUUCAUCCUUUUCCUUUCUAGAUCUUUAUUUUACUUAUUUCUGUUUUUCCCUGUGAUUCUGUUUCUGGAUCCAAUGUUCUGUUCUGUAAUUUUGGUUGUUAGAUUCAAAAUGCCGGAAAAUUCGAUCCCCAAGGAAGCUGCGUUUCAGAUCAUUAAUGAUGAACUCAUGCUCGAUGGAAACCCUAGGUUGAAUUUGGCCUCCUUUGUUACUACUUGGAUGGAGCCUGAGUGUGAUAAACUCAUCAUGGCUUCCAUUAACAAGAAUUACGUUGAUAUGGAUGAAUAUCCUGUCACCACUGAGCUUCAGGUACGUUUCUUUAUCUCUCUCUAUCUCUUCUUACUUUUAAUCAAAACAUUUAAUUCCAUCGCUUUUCCGUUUCUCUCUGUCGACGCUUCUUUUCCUCCGGAAAUUCUUCUCGAUUGCGAUUUCCAGCUUUCGAUCCUGCAAGAAUUUUUCGGUCCAUAUUAAAUAAUUAUGAAAAAUAAUUAUAGUUGAUUUUUUAUAAAUGACUGUUCUUUUGUCAAAAGAGGAUGUCUAAUUAAAUAUUUCUAAAAUAAUAGUUUUAUAAUCAUUCAAUUUAAAUAUUAGAAAUUUGAGUUUUUCUUUUUCUUUUUUUUUGUUCAAUUGAGAGUUAAAUUUGUUUUUAUAUGAUUUGUUAUAGUUUGGUUCAUGCCACGUCAUUUAGUUUAUAAAUUUAGAUUCAAUAUUUUGAUCAGAUUAUUUUAAAGAGAAAGUCUUAGACUAUAUAUAUAUAUAUAUAUUAAUCCCAUGUGGAGUGGAGUGGUGAUUUGUAUUCUGAAGGUUUUAUCUGGACAAUAUUUGUUUGAGAAUAAAAUACAGAAGUUAAUAAAAUAAAUCUUGUUUUUUCUUUAUAAAAAACUGGUUUAUGUAUAAAAAUAAAUUGAGUUAACCUUUCCUUAAAAAAUAUUAAUUUUGAUGUAGACAUACAUGUAUUAGAUAUUUUUAACUUGAUGUGAAACUAUGGGUGGAAAUGUUAAAAGAAAGAAGAGAAAUGAUUAGAUGUAGAUUUUUAUUAUGUUUUAAGAAAAUAAUAAUAAUCAUUUUAUUUUAAAAUAAAAUAAAACAAAAUGCUCAACCUCGAACAUCUCUUCUAUAAAUCAAUGAGGAGAAAAAUUGUAAAAAAGAUAAAUUUGACAAAAUAUUUAGAACAUAGCAAAAUUUCAGAUUUUAUCAAUAAUAAGCUAUUAUAUUCUUUUAUCAGUGACAUUGAUAGAUAAUAACAAAAGUUUAUAAGUUUCUAUUAGAUAGAUAAGGACAAAAGUUUAUAAGUUUUUAUUAGUGAUAGAAUUAAAAAAAUAUAUACAAUUUUUAAAUAUUUUAGUUUAUUUUACUAUAUUUAAAAAAAUUAAAAUAAAUAAUAAUAAAUUAAUAAACAACCACUUAUACUCUCCAAAACCCAAAAGUUAGUUUCCUUUGCUAACAAAAAAAAAAGUACAUUUCUUUACCAAUAAAAUAAAUUGUAGUUAAAAUUGUAAAUCAUAAAAUCUAGGAUUAAAUUAAAAUAAAAUUAAAAUACUUACAAUAAAACGGUAAGAUUUUGAAUUUAUGAACUAAACCAAAACUAAAUUUAAAAUCUAACAAUGAAAGUAUAAUAUUACGCUAGUUAGAAAUUAAAUAAAAAAUUUAAAAGAAAACUUAAAAGAACGAAAAAAAGUUUUUUUUUUUAAUAAAAAAAUCAACCAUUUGGUUGACUAAAUAGAAUUGUGGAAAAAAACUAUAAUAUAAAGGACAUUUUAAAAUAUAGGAUAUAAAUUAAACUUCUUACAGACUAUAACAAAACCAUUAACUGCUUUUUUUUAUAUUCUUUAUAUAUGUAUAUAUAUUUAUUGUAAUAAUUUUAAUUAUUUCAUAUUUAUGACAUUUCAAAUAUAAAUAUAAGAUAUAAGAGUUCUAUAUAAUAUAAAACUUAAAUUGAUGAUUUGAGAUGCUAGAGGAGUAAUUAGUUUUUUUUUAAUUUUAAUUAUAAUAGUAUGUGUAUGAGAUAUUAUUUUAAUUCGAUAAAAAUUAGUAUAGCAAAAACAAAAUGAUAAAUGUAAAAUACUAACUAUAACAAAUAAUAAUUAUCACAUUAAAUUAGAAGAUUUGGAAAAGUGUUUAAUAUAAGAAAAUUGUGACAUAGCAUUUAGUUUAGCUAAAAAAAAUAGUUAUUAUAAUUUUUUAAUAGUAUUUAGGGAACGAAUUCAAUAAAAUAAAAUAAAAAAAAAAAGUUUUAACUUCCGAUUAUUGAAGAGUAGUAAAAAAGAGUGGAGCAUGAGAGAUUAUGAAAACAAUUUUUUAGGGAGACAGGAAAAAUAAAUGAUAAAUGAAGUGUACCACACUAUUGUAGUGAAGGAGUAGCGUGCAUUUCUCGUUGCACGUCACGUUUCAUUCCGUCACAAUUCCUUUGUUUGCUAGUGUAAUUUGUUUGUGUUUCAACAAAAAGUUUUCUUUUCUUUUCAAUUUACUUUGUCGGCCCUUCUCAACUGAAUAGCUGCUUCCAAUUAUUUUUUAAAAAAUAGGUUUUUCUUUUGUCCUCUUAAAUAUUUAUCUUAAAGUACAUAUUAAGACCAUUUCAAAUUCUGUAUUGAAAAAGUAAUUCUCAAGUUGAAAAAUAAAAUUAAAGGGUAAUUCUUGCCCAAAUUUAAUGUCUAUAAUUCGUAAUUAAAAACUAAUAGUAACACCUACAAUUUAAUAAGCUUUCUAAAUAGUAACUCUAACGAGAAGUAGAGAUGUCCACGAAGUGGGAAUAGGAAUGUCACUCCCCAUCUCCAUUCCCAUUUCUAGCCCUCUAUUCCAUUGGUUGUUUUCACUAAUUUUCCCACAUAAAAAGGUGUGCUAGUUGAGAUUAUGUGGGAUGGAUUAGCACGAGAAAAUACUACUUUUAUUAUUUUUGUUUUUUUAUAAAUAAGUAUAAAUUUAAAUUACGUAUAUAUACAUACAUAUAUGUUUAUACACACAUAAUAUAUAUAUAUAUAUAUUAUAUACAUUUUUUUUUUUGUAUGGGGAAUGUUUUUUCUGUUUUCGACCCUGAAAUAUCAAAAGAGAAAUUAUUAUUCAUUCUCUUUUUCAUUUGUCGUGUAUUUAAGAAUUUGCUGUCAUGUUUGGGGUUUUUGUGGAGUCUGGUAUUGCGAAUUAAAUAAACAUCUUUAACAAAAUCGUGUUUAAGAAAAACGAAGGACAUAUGUGGAAUUUUGACUUCAGUAUACUGUGGUAUGUAAUAAUGUUAACUUCGAAGUUUAACCAAUUAGUUGAAGUUUGUGAAGUCUUUGCCUCAAUAAUUGCCGAGAUUUAAGGGAACUAUGGAAUUCCAACCGAUUGUCUCUAUUAUUACGAGUGGCCCAGAAUUAAUUGACAUACCUUCUUUUCUUAUACUAUUAUGAGGGAAUCCCAAUUUUGUCCUCGUUAACAUUUUAAAAACUGUAAAUUCUCUCUUUAAUUUAAAAUAAACCUUUAGAAUGGAAGGAUUAUAUAUUGUAUAUCCAACAUUUGACCUUAUCUAACGAAUCCAUCAACCAUAACCCACCUCUAGUUUUAUUUUACUUUUCCUUUUCCUUUUUUCCCUUCAUCAUUCUUUUUUUUCUUUAUUGUUUUCACUUUUCUUUUACUUUAUGAAAUGUUUAGUGGUGAGGGAGUAGGUAAUGUUUUAUCUUUUGAUGGAACAAUUUUGACAUUUCCCUUCUCAAUUUUCUUUUUAAAAAUUAGAGAGAGAAAAUAUGACUGAUGUGAUUAAUCAGGAUCUCCCUAUUUCAAUCUGACCAGGAUUUUUCUUUCCUCCUUUGAAUCUUUCUUUCUUCUUUUUCCUUUCCUUUUUUUUUCUUUUUUUUUUUUUUUUUUUUGGUUUUCCAGUCCAAUGCCUGUGUGGGGAACUGAUUUAUAGAUUAAAAUAUAACCUUUUUGGAACAAAAAAUGGAAACCCUCUAUCACAUUUAGGAAAAUAAAAGAGAAAAAUAUUUAAAUUAAAACAAUAAUAAUCUAUAUACUGUUCCUUUUCCUUUUGUUUAAAAAAAAAAACAUAUUUCAUACUUAUCUGUUACUUUAAUCAUUUGUAAGAGAUAUUUGUUAAAAUAUUAAAUGAAAAUAAGUAAUAUGGACCAAUGUGAAUAUGACAUACAUAGUGAGGUUAAAUGAGUAGUGUUCAAGUUUCAAUUUUGUAAAUAACUAUUAUAAUAUUUGCAGUUUAAAUAUUUGCUAACUUUUAAAAGAAUAAAACUAUCUUUAAAAACAAAUGCAAUAUAUGAAAAACGAUUUUUAGAGGAAAAAAAUUCUAAACAUGAUGCAUUGUAACUGUACUAUUUCUUUUCCACUUAAUGAAUACUUACAAAUAUAUGUUUUAAGCAAUUUAAAAGUUAUUUCGCUUGAAUUGAAUUAUUGUCUAAUCAACUAGCUUAUCAUUUAUUUUUUUUUUAAAGGUAUUUUGAGUAUUUAAAUAUUAACCCUAUACUUUUUUUCAAUAUUUUUAUAUUUACUUUAAUAAAGAAAAUAUCAUAAAUUUUAUUAUCACUUAUCUUCCUUAAAAAAAAUAGUAAUUCAUUUUUAACAUUGUUGUGUUUGUUUUUCAAACUUUAAGUAAGAUUCCAACAGUAUUUUAAAAAAAAAACAAUAAAAGGAGGUAACCAAAUGCUGCUCUCAUAAAUGAACUAAAAGAAAGUUGCUCUUAUAUUUAUUUAUUUAUUCUUCAACUCUGUAACCAAAUCAACAACUUGAGUUUUAAUAUAUGGAUGUGGUGCAAGAUUCAGUGAUUCCAUUUUACGAAAAAAAAAACCAAUAGAAAUAUAAAUAUAAAUAUAUGAUGAUAUAAAAGAAUAUUUCAUAAAAUUAUAUUAAAAAUAUAUAUAUAUGGAUGUAUACAUUCUAUAUUUUAACCAAAUUAAAAGGUUUAACUAUGACAUUGUGUGACAUUUUGUUGCUUAAAUUUUAUGUCCAUAUUUCAAUAUAACCUAUGCUAAAAAGUUCAAGGAUUAAAUUAGUUUUUUUUUCUUUCUUUUUUUGUAUGUGAUUACAAAUGAUGAGUUUUAGGAGUAAGAUUAUUAGUAAAUAAUAUUGAAAUUAUUUGUGUUUGUGUUAAAUGUAAAAUGCAGAACCGAUGUGUGAAUAUGAUAGCACAUUUGUUCAAUGCCCCAUUGGGUGAUUCUGAAACGGCAGUGGGAGUUGGAACAGUGGGAUCGUCAGAGGCCAUAAUGUUGGCUGGUUUGGCUUUCAAGAGAAAAUGGCAGAACAGAAGGAAGGCUGAAGGCAAGCCCUAUGACAAGCCCAACAUUGUCACUGGUGCUAAUGUCCAGGUAUUUAAUCACUAACAUUCAAUUCACUGAUUCAUCCUCUAACAACAACAUUGUUCUUUUCUUUUUUUCUUUUUAAGAAAACUUUGUACAGAGCUCCAAUUCUUUGAAUUACUUCCUCUAAUAAGAAGUUUUGUCCACAAAAGACAAACCCAAGAAGAUAUAUAUGUUUUAAGUCAAUAACAACACCUUGUGUUGUUUUCAGUUUUUGAAAAAUAGAACUGUUUGGUAACGGUUUCCUUUUUUAUAAUCAUUAUUAUUUUAAAACCAAACUUCUACAGUGCAUAAACAUAAAUGUAACACAAAUCUUUGUCGUAUUUUAUUUUAAAAACUUAUUUUCAAGUAAAGUUUUUACCAUAUUAAUCAACAACACAAAAGCACAAGUAAUGAAAAAUUGUCUUUAAUUUUAUUUUAAAACAAGAAAUAAGCUAUUGAAAUAUUACCAAACAAGCUUUAAAUUUUCAUCAGGGACUUAAACCCAUCUUAGAGAGGAUAUUUCUAAACAUAUGAAGCCUAUAUGCUAACAGUAAACCCUUUGUUUUAUGCAUAAUCAGCAAUGUUUUGCUAACAUAUUGCUGUCCUAAACAAAAAAUAUGAAGGUAUGCUGGGAGAAAUUUGCAAGAUACUUCGAAGUAGAACUGAAGGAGGUGAAAUUGAGGGAAGGUUACUAUGUGAUGGAUCCAGAGAAAGCUGUAGAGAUGGUUGAUGAGAACACAAUCUGUGUUGCAGCCAUCUUGGGUUCCACUCUCAAUGGAGAAUUCGAAGAUGUAAAGCUCUUAAACGAUCUCUUAGUCGAGAAGAACAAAGAAACUGGGUACAAUUUCUUCUCUCCAUCCCUGUUCUUUUUCUCUUUAAAUGGGAUGUUCAAAUGAAAUCAAAUCUGAAAUUGAGCAUAAAUUUUAAACAGAUGGGAUACUCCUAUUCAUGUUGAUGCUGCGAGUGGAGGGUUUAUUGCUCCAUUCAUUUACCCUGAGCUAGAAUGGGACUUUAGGUUGCCACUUGUAAAGAGUAUUAAUGUGAGUGGCCAUAAGUAUGGGCUUGUUUAUGCUGGAAUUGGUUGGGUUAUCUGGAGGAACAAAGAAGAUUUGCCUGAAGAACUUAUCUUUCAUAUCAACUAUCUUGGAGCUGACCAACCCACUUUCACCCUCAAUUUCUCCAAAGGUAUACAUUAUAUACCCUAAUCUAUGCUCAUUAGAGCCUAAUUUUGUUUUGCUUGAUGAUUUUGAAGCUGAAGUUGUGUUUUGUUACCUGUAGGAUCUAGUCAAGUCAUUGCUCAGUAUUACCAAUUGAUCCGUUUGGGUUAUGAGGUGAGAUUCUCCCAUACACGAUCUUUUAUUUAUCCAUUUAACUAUUGAAUUUGCAUUAACACUUUGUAACAUCUUUAUUUUUUAGAUAAUUUAUUUUAGCUCCUGAACUUUAGGUUGGUCAUCCUUAGCAUGAAGGACAUCCAGUAACAUGACAGUUAUAAUAAUAUGUAUAUUAAUCUUAUGUCCGUUUGAUGAGACAAAUAGAAUACCGUCAAACACUCAAAAACAAACCAAAAACUCAAAAACACUCAAAAUUAUAUAAUAUCAUAAGAAAAGUAACAAGAUGGCCUAGCAUUUUAAGAGGAGUACUCUCCCAAAUUCUCUAAAAAGAUCCCACAAAAAAUUCUUCACGCUUGAGCCUCACUCUCAAUUAUUGUUUGUAAUCCAAACAUGUACCAGAAUCAUACAUACUUGGAAACUUGACGGGAUAGUCUUAAACAUUUAUAGACCAAAAUAGGAUUCUACAACCAAUGUGGUGAUUUGAAAGCAGAACUUCAUCAGGAGAAACAGAAUCACCAUUUAAUCUAACAAAGUAAAACCAUUUUUGUUCACCAGG
rnacentral:lncRNA from 1 species